UUAAAAAAUUAUUAAGCCGCCCCUGGUUAGCACCCCUUCAACCAAUGCAUAGGGGGACUCCCCAUCCCCACCACGAACCAUUUGACCAGUGAAUUUUCAUCAAUUACCACUCUAUAAACAAGCGUAAAGGCAAGGGCGGCGCUGCUACAUAUAAAUCUCAGUCAAAUAGAGGAACGUUAUUCAUAUGAUGUACCCCACCCCACAUGUUUGAACCCUUAGAUCUGGAUAUAAAGGCAAGGGCGACGCCACUUAAAUGCAUAAAUCUCAAUCAAAUGGAGAUGCAUUAAGAGUUCCGAAUAGAUAUUUAUUUUUCCCAUCAUAUACCCCACGUACGUUUUAAACCCUUGAUCUAGAAAGUCCUUCCUACAAACACCACAUAUUUCAUAGAGAUCACCAUAGGGUUCCGGAAUAGUUGAAUUGGCACCGUAUAAUACCGUGCCGAUCAAUUAAGUCUUAAAUUUCCAUUUUUUUCUCCUCUCUCGACAACCCUAAUCACAUCUUACAAAGCUUUGUCAUCCUCUAAUUUUUUGCAAUUUAUUUUAGCUAUAUAGAAGUGAUGCGUAAAAAACAAUGAAUUGAUAAUGAAUAUAAAUAAUUUAUUAAAAAAAUUAUCAAGUGUGUUUAAUUCUUAUUUAUCUUUAAAUAUAAUUUUAUAAAAAUAAUGAAGGCGCACCAAUAGCUUCAGUCUUUGGAUUAUUAAAUUUGGAUACUUUUUUUUUUAAUUGUCGUGUCGUAAGUUACCAUCCCACGCAUUACGAACCUUUUUUAAAAGAUAUGAUUUCUAGGUUCUAACUUCCAAUGAAAUGACCACAUACGAUGUAUAAUGUUGAACACUUGUUGACUUAUUUAAUUUUUUAAGUGAAUUUCUUUUCUAAAAAAAAAAAAAAACUUGACGGGGAGGAGAGGCUGUCAUAUAUUAUUUGUCAUCUCGAUGACUGACAAGCUAUAGACACAAACUUGGUUGUGGGUCUCACACGGGACCACAGCCAAGCACUAUUCAUGUGAGGGCUGUUACUUACAGUAAGGUAGUCCUCUCUUCUUCUCUUUAAUUUUUGCAUUUCGAACUUUGAUCAUUUCAGAAACAUAUCUUGUUGACUUUUGUGUUUUUAGUUAUAUUUUGUAUUACAUUUUCUGUUAUAUUGAGCUUUGAAUUUUUUUAAUUUGUAUCUAAUAAAAUCAAUAAAAUAUCUCUAAAUUUAGUUGUUCUGUAAUUAUUCUUAAAUGAAUUGUGAACUUCUUUUGAAAAUUAAUUUUGUAAUUAGAAUGCAUUAUUUAUAUAUUGAUUCAAGUCCAUUAAAAAUAUUUACGUAUUUAUUAGAAUUUCCUUUUUUUGGGGUUAAACUUGACAAAUCGAAUAGUACAAAGAGACGAAAGCCAUUUCGUGUAGUUAACUAUUAUUGAUUGCAUGUAGGUUAGAUAUAUGAUACGUAGUACCCUUUGUUGACCUCAUUACCAUAAAAUGUCGGCUGAUUUAAUAAGAAAAAAUAAUAAAUUAAAAAAAGAAUAAUAUUGUCGAAUGUAAAGGUUAGUUUUGAUAUAUUCAACAUGAUAUGUUGGGUUUAUUUGCACAAUCAUGCAAAAUAUAACUAAAAUGCACUAAAAAUACAUCAUUCACUCUCUAAGUAAUCUUAAUUAAAACUCAAAAGUGUCAUGAUAACUCUUAUUUCAUAGAUUUAUCAGCCAACCCAGCCAACCAAUAAGGAAUUUAAACAUUUGCUUGCCAAUUAAAAAGCCAUUGACAAGCAAAUGAGUAAGAUCUCAAUAAAGAAUGACGAGGAAGUACUUUUUAUUAAUAAGAAGAUACAUCUAUUUAGACGACAUAGUGAUAGAGGAUUUAAAGGAGAUGUUCCACCACUACGUCAUCUGAAUCGAUGUCUCUUCUUAUCAGUUAAGAGUGUCUUCUAGUCAUUCUUUAUUGAUGCCCCACUCAUUUGCUUGUAAAUCUCUUUUGAUCCGCAAGCAAAUUUGUAAAUUCGUCAAUGGUUGGUUGGAAACCUUGAACAGGUAUAACAAAGCUUUUAAAUUCAAGUCUCGAACCAUAGUCAAUAAUUUUUUUCAUUCUAGAUUUAGAAAUUACAGCAGUAGUACUAACCCAAAAAUUUCACGGUAUAAAAGGCUUUACCCUGUUGAAUUACUUGUCUAUUGUCAUGUUUUGUUGUGAAAUUAAUAGUAACUCAUUCUCCAGAAGUUGUAACUGCGUGUUAUUCUUCUUUAAAAAAAUAGUUGCAAACGUGUCAUGAGUUUUAGCCUUUCUUUUGUGUUGUAACAUCUCUUCUUCAAUUACACUAUUGAUAAUCAAUAUGGCCUUCUCAGCUUUAAUGUUCUACUUUUUCAAAGUGGCAUCCUCAGUUGGUGAUUUUACUUCGUUAUCGCAAACGUUCUCCUAGAGGUCCUGGCCUUGUAAGUAGGACUCUAUCAAUGUUGCUGAUGUAUUGUAAUUUUUGUUAUUGAGUUCCUUAACUCUUCCAACUAUUUGAAGGUUAUCGAUCGUGUUUGUAAAACUUUGACAAUGCCAACCAAGCUCGAUCUUCACAAAUGAACUUGCAUAAUUUCGAACUACUCAUAAUUCAACGAAGCCCCAUCGAGGAUCGUCCUUGCUGUACUCUCGUAGCUUCUCCACGAAAGUCUUUGACUAUUGUGAAAUUCCGACAACAUUGCUACAGUGGUCUCCGACCAACCACACUCUAAUAUUAAUUGUUGAAAACUGUGGAAGACUAAACUGCACGAAAAUAAAACUAUUUGGGAAAUUUUAUAAUCUCGUUAAUCUAAAUGACUUUAUUAAUAUUUUCCAAGAGAGAUACUACAACACUCAUGAUUUACUUUUCUUUCUCUCUUUUAAUUCUUCACUCUCACUUCAUACUUAAGCAAAUAAUACAAGGGAGUAUUUAUAGUACAUAAAAACAAAUAUAAACCAUUCAAAUAAAAAAUUACAAAAAAUUAAUAAUCAUACAUUUCAUCUGCCAUACUUAUCACCAAUAAUAUCACCUACCACUAAAUUUUUUUUUUAAUGCUCAUAAAACCUUUUCUGAGUUAGGCUUAUUAAGCUGGGCUUUGGAAGAUGGUGAUGGGCUUAUUUUAACAUCUCACUUAAUAAACUCAGAACUCAACAAUUCCCGAUGUUCUGAUCUUGUCCAAGAAACUUCAUAUUCUGCCAACGAUUUCCAAUCUUCAAAUAAAAAUUGAAAAUCUCAAGGCCUAUGGCGAACAUAAUUGGCAUAGGUGGAAGGCAAUCUUGAAACAAGAUUAAUUCAACAAUCCUUCGACAUCUAUCUCUGAUGUUGCAGCAAUUAUUCUCCUUGAACUCACUGCCAUACAAGCAAUUUGUUCUAUUGUCGAAUUAUGGGGCUCGUAAAAUGGUUUGUUGGAUUUUCAUGUUUCAAGUGGGUAAUGUAUGUUUAUUAUAUCCACCGUAUUAUGUAAUCAUUUUUUUGCUUUAUGCUAUAUAUCAACAAUUUGUAAAGACUUUUGUAAAUACCUUGCGAAUGAAGCUCUCAAACGAAGAAGAAUGAUCAAAUUCAAUUAAUUUUUUUCUUUAUAUCUUCGUGAGAAAGAGAGAGAGAAAAAUGAAAACAAAGAAAUUGUAAAAAAAAUGCCGAGAAUCAAAAGAUAAUGAUUCAAUAUUGAGCACUGAAUCAACAAUUAGUAGAUAAGAGAAAUAACACACAACCAUUACAAGAACAAAAAAAGAAUUUUACUACUAGACAAAAAAAAUUUGUGUCUUCGUAGGAAAUUUUGUGCUAUUGUCGAUACAUACAGCAUUAUUCGAAACAUAUAUGCAGGUAAUGUUGCAUAAUUAUACACCACUCAUGCAACAUUACGUAUUGAGCAAUCUACCGCUUUUUAAUAUUAAAAUAAACAAGGCCUACGAAGAAGACUUUGAUUUUACCAUAGAAAAAUCUCAACGAAAGCGAGGGCCCACAAAAUUAAUAUUGAUAAAAUAAUAAUAUAGAACUGAUCUGAACAGAGAAAGCAUGCAUAUUAAACAACAAAAGGAGGACAGCCAGUAGGGAUGGCAAUGGGGAGGGGAGGGGAGGGGACCAAUCUCCCCAUACCCAUCCCCGAUAUUUUACAUAUGUCCCCGUCCCCUCCCCGUCCCCGUCAGAAUUGCUUGAGAGAAUCCCCAUCCCCUCCCCGAAUAAUAACAGGGGAUUCCCGAGGGUCCCCGGUCCCCGAAUAACUAAUAGUCUAAUACAUUUUUUUUUAUUUUCGAUUUUAAAUUAAUCAUAUUAAAAUAAACUCAUACCGCUAUUGUAAGCUCGUAACCAACUUUGACAGCACAUUAAGGCCUCCAAUGUGCUUGGAUGAAGUCUGUUAUGGUAUGGGCUCACAACUCUACCACUAGUGUUAAAAGCUGAUUCAUAAGCAACUGUUGUAAUUGGAAUUGCCAAAAUAUCUCUAGCAAUUCGAGCUAAUGUAGGAUACCUAUUAGCAUUUGUCUUCCACCAACUCAAAAUAUUAAAAUCUUCCAUCCGAGGUAUAACUUUCUCAUCCAAAUAUGAAUCUAAUUCAUCUGCAACAACUGCACAAUCUCCAUUGUUUACAUAAUCAUCAAAACCUAUCAUCCAUUUGGUUGCUUUCUUAUAAGAAUCCCCUGUAGAUCUAGUAGAAGAACUACUACCAGUAUAAUCAAAGCAAUAAACAGUUGGUGAAAACUUCAAUUAAUACUCUUCAACUAAUUCCCGGCAAAAGGUGACCACUUUCCCAACAUACAACUAUUUUGAUAUUUAUUAUUUUUAACAAUAUUUAUAAUUUUGUUAUUUAUUUAUUAGUAAUUUUAAAAAUAAAAAUAAAAUUAAAAAUUAAAAUGGGGAAAUGGGUAGGGGAUGGGGAUUCCACCUCAUCCCCGUCCCCUCCCCGAAUAAAAAAUUGGGUAAAAAAUUUUCCCCGUCCCCUCCCCGAAAAAAAAAUUGGGUAUAAAAUUAUCCCCGUACCCUCCCCGAAUGGGGAAAAUCCCCGAGGGUACCCGUCCCCGUGGGGAUUUUUGCCAUCCCUAACAGCCAGAUCCAACGGUGGCUGCAACAAAAACUCCUGUUUUAGGCACACAGGCCAUUCAUAUGCAAUACCAAGUUGGUCAAGUACUCAAGUUCUUGACUGGUCUCAAUUUCUUCACAAGCAAGAUCUGGUUCUCAUGAAUUUGCUUCCCCAUCUUCUUCAUCCAGGUCACUGUGCCUUGUUACUUUAUCAUUGCCCUUGUGUUUGUUUGAAAAAUAUUAUUCCACGUAUUUGUUUUAGGUUUGUUUGUAUUGCCAUCUAAUUUAGACCGAAAAUUUUGACAAAAAACUGUAUAUAUAUUUGAAGUUCUGCCAAGAAUAAACUAUGCACCAACAUUAAAAAUAAAAAAGGAUUUUUUUGUAAAAAUCUGUUUCUUAGAGGUUUUUAAACUUCGGUUUAUGUGACCACAAGAAGCUGAUUCUUGGCUGCUUUUUGUUUUUUUUUAUUGUACUUGAAUAGACUAAAAGCAUGUGAAGAAUUUUUAACAAAAUAAAAUCAACAAUAAUCGAUUUUAUUUUUGAAUUUGCUUCUUUAUCUCCUUCAUCCGGGUCACUGUAGAAAUCAAUAAUGAAAAUGUUCAAUUUCUUGCAAUAUAUGUUCUAAUGUUGUUCGAUAUUUUAUUUCCCGAUAAACAUAAUAUGGUCACAACGUUUCCGGCAAGCAUAUGGUUCGGCCAGCAACUGAAAAAAAUAAUUUAUAAUCAAAUUUUAAAUAAAGAAACACUUCAAAAAAUAGAAUAGAAGAAACACAUAAAUUUGUGUUUUCUUUGGUUUUUAAUAUUAAUGUGCUUAUAGUUUUAAAAAAAAGCAAAAUAGUCAAUGAUUUGACACAUAAUUUUAAAUUGUUUUAAAUUUUUAUAUUUUUAUCAAUUGAUUUAAUUUUAUUAUUAAAAAUUAAUGAUAGUAUAAGGACAAUAACUUGCAAAACCUUUUAAUACAUAUAAUCUUUUUUAUUUUUUUGAAAACAACAUAAAAUCUAUUCAAUCAAUAAUAAAUAAUUUAAAUAUAUGAUUAAAUUUUAACUUAAUAAUAAUAUGACUAAAUAACAAUUUAAAAAAUUCAAAAUAAUUAACUAUAGUUUAGUAUUCAAAUAUAAAUAAUAGAAAUAUACUCUAAAUGUAAAUAUUAGAAACAUAUUGGAUUUAUGUGUUAAAAUCUUAAAGCUUCUUUUUUUUUUUUUUACUUUUCAACAAAUAAGAGGGAUCUAAAGUAAUUUACCAAAAAUUAAGGGUACCAUGCCCUCGGGGCACCAUAGCUUCGUCCACAUUUCUAGUAUCUAUAAUAUUAUAAUAAUUUUGAAGGAUAUUUUAAUAAUUAAAAAAAUUAAAUUUGGUGGAUAAUUUAGUGGGUCUAAAUGCCCCACCCUUUUCUCUUAGGGGUAUAUUCAUCUGUGUACCUGCUACUAGCGCAAUGCAAUUCCCGAAAAGCUUGAGGACCUUUGAACAAAAUUUUUGUAGAUCCGCUGAUUCUAAAUACUAUUUUACAUUCCUUUUCACACAAACUUAAAGGAUAGAAAUGGCUUUUUCAAAGAUUCAACAUCAAACCCUAGAAUGGGAAAUAAGUCGGCCUAAAUUUGACAAAUUUGAUUUGAUCAAUCAAUCAAAAGACUUUAAACCCACUUUCAAAAUUGUAGGAUGAUACCGUACGGCAAUGCAAUUGUUAUUCAAAUUUCUUCCCUUCUUAAACGUUAACCUAACUGGUGGGCACGACUUAGAGAAUUCAUCAGUGCAUGACUACGGCCUGUGCCUGGCAUUUUCUUAUUUAAAAAUAAAAAAUAAAUAAAUAGAUAAAGAAAAAGUAUAUUGUUCAAACUUACGGCGCCCAAAGAAAGGGAAAAAAAAAGGAUAAAAUUAAUGAGAAUUAAAGAUAUUCUCCAAUAAGAUCCAUUUUUUCAUUCAAAAGGUUACAAGAAAAGUUGUGUUUUGUUCACAAGUUUAUAUUAAACAACAGGUUUUACAACGUGGCAUACACUAGAGUUUCAACACUGCAAGUGCAAUAUUUCUUUCCUUAAUUUUUCAAAAUAAACAUGCUUCUUGGUUGAAAGAAAUUGAGGGUUCAAUUUGAUUUUCUCAAUGAAUGAUGAAAGCUACAUACUGGUUGGCAGAUUGUUGUUUUAUAUCAAACUCAACGUAAUGGAAAAAGUAUGAUGAAUAUAAAUUAAUAUAUAGAUACAUAAAACAACGAAGAAAAGUACUAAACCCAAUCUCCCGAACAUGCAUGAAAAAAACUUCUAAAACCACCGACUUGUUAUAAUGUAAAAUAGUCAAUAGCUUACACUUCUAAUUUCAUUGGAUGUGAAAGUAAUGCCAAAUAGAUUUUUGCUUGGACAGUUGAACCCACACCGAAGCUUCAGUAAAUUGCAGUUCCACCAGCGGCCGGCUCAACUUAACUGAAAAAAAAUGAAAGAAAAAUGACAUAACCGUGUUGGUCCCACGUGUUGAGUUCGUGUGGACUUCCGUGCGCAUUUCGCGUAACAUACCCACAUGUAUGUAAGUCAGUCAAGUCUUCUUCUCUUUGUUAAUGUGGCAUAUUUUCUAUAUUUCAGCAUUCAUGUGUUUCUGGGAAGUGGGAACAUAUGAAGCCUUUCAUUUUGCACAAGAAAAAUAGGAAUAACAGCUCAAAUAUUGGCAGUUCCUUCUAUAAGCAUUUUCUAACACAUAAUUGAGAAAGUCUAUAAAAUUUAAAAGAGUUCCAGGCAAGUGUAUUUUAGUCAAUCACAAUGACUUGUUUGUUAAUUCCCUGCAUUUAAAUAAGGAAGAAGAAGCCACCAGACCGAUCGAUCGACCGAGAAAAAGAUGCCAAAGUUCACUCUCGGAAAUUCCUUUCGUUUUGGCAGCAAAAGGGAAACCGUCUGUAACUUUCAUUCCGAAAGUAUUGAGACGAUACUAAAAAAGUUGACUAAAGAUUGGCUUGAGCAGUUUGCUCGAGAUGCGUAGAUCCAGGCCGAUCUGAUUGGGUGGAAGAAGAUGAUGGUGGAGAUUAAUAAGGUGCUAGAUGAUGCCAUAGAGAAGCAGACGGAGGAGGAGUCAGUGAUGAUAUGGCUAGGCAAACUUCAGCACUUGGCUUGCGAUGUUGACUACUUGUUGGAUGAGUUCCAAACGGAAGCUUUCCAGACGAUGUUGCUGCAAGAUGCUGAUGCGAUGUCUAAAGUAAAGGAGGUCAAUGCUCGAUUGCAAGAUAUUGCAUGGCAAAUAAACGUACUAGGUUUGAAAGAAAUUUCCGGUGGGAAGUCCAGAAAUGUCAGGCUAAGAUUUCUCACAACCCCUUCGGUGAGUGAAGCUGGCUUAUAAGUAUUGAUAUUCAAACAGAAAAUUUUUACAUAAAACUGACAGAAACAGUGAUAAAUCGAUAUCAAUUUGCUCACUUAAUUAAAAAAUUAGGACAUUAGAUACUGAUUUGUCACUGUCUUUAUCAAUAUCUCGAUCUCCCUAGCAAUUUUUCACCAAUGCAAAUGGUAGAGAAAAUGAUAAAGAAUAGAUACUGAAUCGCCCAUGCUACAAAUAUAAAGACUAAUUACUAAUGCUAAUUCAAAGUGUUUUCUUUUGUUUUGAAAGCUACUCUUAGCGGCAGUAAGAGGCGGAGGUCGAGAUCGUGGUCCUACAGUCUUUAGUCCCUUAAUCGAGAAAGAGGACUUGGCUUUGUUGGAGAAAGAGGAUUGCUCUGCUUCUUUGGAGAAAAUAGGAUCAGGUGGGUGUGGAGAAAUUUACAUUGCCGAGCUAACGUGUUUCUAGAGAAUUCUUUUGCACCCUAUUUUUUGCGUUAUAUAUAUAUUUUUGAGUCAAUUGUUAGAGAUCAAAUUCAGUCUUUUUUUUUAUAGCUGAAAUUCAGGCUUAAUUUAAGAUGAUUACAGGAAAUUGAAUCUCAAGUAAAAUAAUAAAAUGAAAAUUCUUUAUUUAUAGUUAGUUCUAGCAUCAGAAUGCAUGAUGGUAUUAUUUGUUUUUUCAGUUAUUUUGGAAUUUUGUCUUAUUUAUACAUCUUGGUGAAAUUGUUGUAUGUUCAUUUUGUUUGUCGUGAUUGCUUAUAAGCUAUUGUUAUGUUGAUAAGUAUGGCUUAUUAAUAAUUUUCUUUGAUUAUUGAUAGAGUUUCCUCCAAAGCACAAGGCUGGUUCUCAAAAAGAGGUGAUGGGAGUGCUUUCAUUUGAAGUUUUGAGCUUGAUGUCUAAGGUGGUUCACCUUUGGCAGUCUUUGAGUGAUGAGCAGAUUGUUAGAUUGAGAGCUGAGUUACUAAAUUCUGUGGGCAUAAAGAAGCUUGUAUCGGAGGAUGACGAGUUUAUUGCAAGUUUAAUAUGUGCUGAGAUGAUUGACGAUUUGGCCCACGUGGCGAAAUCUGUGGCUAGGCUUGGGAAGAAGUGUAAUGAUCAGGGUUUAAAGAGUUUUGAGAUUGCUCUAGAAAAAUUUGUUAAUAUUGGUUCUGACCCAUAUGGGUUGGAGUUUUCAUGGAAGAAGAUGGAAAAGAAAGUCAAGAAAAUGGAACGUUUCAUUUCAAUAAAUGCAACUUGGUACCAAGAGUUUGAAAUGCUUUCGGAUCACAUACAAACUCUGAAGAGAAUGAAGAUUAAUGAUGGUGAGAUAGAGUUUCAAAAGAAGGUUGCAUGGAAGGAGCAGGAGGUGAAGAAUCUAUGGAAGGUCUCUCUUUGGAAAAAGACUUAUGAUUAUACAAUUCCGCUUUUGGGAAGAUCACUAUUUACAGUAUUUGGAAGGAUACGAUAUGUCUUUGGAAUAAAUGUGAGUGUGGAUGUCGAGGAUUCAAGAGAUAUGUCUUCUGAUUAUAUUUACCGCAGCCAAUCAGUUUCUGCAUUAUUGCAAUCUCCAGUUCAUCCAUCUGAGAAUACUGGUAUACCUAGAUUUUCUUCAGGUCCCCCUGGAAAAUUUACUGCUAACUCAGGUCCUAUUUCAAAACCAAAAAGAAUGAAUAAUUAUCAUUCAGGUCCUCUUAGUGCUAUGAGCACAAAAUCGGGUCCUAGCAUGAUGGCUGCAGAUAUUUCUCCUGUUGCCAACCGUUAUUCAAUUCCAAAUAUUUUGGGAGCUCUUAAUGAAGCCAAAGAGAGCAAUGUCAAGCAAAUUCCUCAGGCCCAUAGAGUUCAAACAAGAUCUUCAAUAUUCAGUUCCAAGGGCAAGUUGGUAGAUGCUUCACCCGAGACUCUUGGUGGUGCUGCUUUAGCGCUACACUAUUCAAAAGUCGUUAUUGUAAUUGAGAAGCUGGUGGCAUCUCCUCACUUGAUUGGUCAUGAUGCAAGGGAAGACUUGUACAAUAUGUUACCUGCAAGUGUGAGAGCCACUUUGAGAGCAAGGUUAAAGCCAUAUACAAAGAGCUUAGCUUCAUCAGUGUAUGAUACAGAGUUUGCAGGCGAGUGGACUGCAGCAAUGAGUGCGAUUUUGGAAUGGUUGGCUCCACUUGCUCAUAACAUGAUUAGAUGGCAAUCUGAGCGGAGCUUUGAGCAGCAGAGAGUAGUUUCCAGGAGCAAUGUUCUUCUUGUACAGACUCUGUACUUUGCAAAUCAAGAAAAGACAGAAGCAGCAAUUACUGAGCUUCUUGUUGGCCUUAAUUAUGUCUGGACAUACAGCAGAGAACUCAAUGCAAAAGCUUUGCAGGAAUGUGCUAGCAGCAGAGUGUUUGAUGAAUGCUUGGAUUUGGAAGGGUAAGAUUAUUCACUGACUGUUGCGAUCAUCAUCAGAAUACCAUUGCCUCACCACUUCAUUGGCUUUCGGGGAUACAUGGUUGCAAAGGAUUUCUAUGUUCUGGCUAGUCCACAAGGCUUCUCUGUUCUAGUCAACAACAAUGACGUGGAGCAUGGGCAAAACUCCUAUCCGCUCUAUCGAAAUUCCAUAUACGUAAAUGCACUACCUUAAGUUAAAGAUAUAGGUUUGAGUAAUAACAAUAUAGUUUUGUUGAGAAAUGGCAAUGCACUUCUGCGUGCCAAAUAUGAAAUUAAGCUAUCAUUCAGUGAAAUUUGUAUACUUAUUUAGGGAUAAACUUGUGUAGUAAUUGUAAAUUUUUCCACAUUAGGCUUUUCAUUCAUGUAUAUAGCCCCUCAUGAUCUGGCUUGCUUCUUUUUGAGUGGCAUACUGGUAUUGAUAUAGUUAUGUGAUUGUGAGCUUUCGGCUGUGUGGGAACUGAAAAUGUAAUUCAGGUUGCAGAAACAAGAUCUUGAAUUCAAUUUAUCAUAUUUAUAUUCGAUAGGAUGGCAUAUUCGCAAAUCAAUUGCAGCCAAUUGUAUUCAGUGACAUUGCUUGAUGCCUAUUGGCGAAUGAAUCUGGUGACUCAUUUUUAUUUACGUUCUUUCAGUUGUCGAUGGUGCUAAUGGUACUAAUAUACUCAGUUUGUGAGUGAUGAUUGUUGAUGCUGAGAUCUGCUCGUCCUUGGACCGACCAGAUUCUUUCAUCAACGCUUAAGUUAUCGACUGUUGCUCGAACCACUAAGGCCGGGAUCACCCUCCUUUCUCUCACUAGACCUGCGUUCACCAAAAAUGGAUCAGAGACGCCGGUGGUUUUGCCGGCGUAAACCCUCCGAUGCUUAAGUUAGCACAAGGUGUUUACGGGAAAACAAUAUAAUUUGGGUUCAAGAAGUUUGUUCGAGAUCUGUAAGAAAAUAGUCUCGUUGCAAUUUGGCAGCGUUUUCCCUCUCUUAAUUUUUUUCUGUCCUGUCUUCUUCGAUGUCUUUCUCUUUUAUAGCCGCCCUUUGUCCCACGUUUUUCGUUUGCCCCUUAUCCCUCCUUUUUCGGGUGGUGGUAGCCCCUCAUGGGACUCUAACUGUUAGAUUGUGGACAAACGUGGAUCUCGCGUGUCCUUCAACCGUUCUAGGAGAAGCGCAACUACCGCGAUUUUGUGAGAUCGUGUUCCCGCUUUCCUGGGGAUGAGUAUCGGCUCGGCGUAUACUUCUGGUCGGUAUGUUUUCCUGGUCGCAUUCAUCUCGGGUCGGCUCCUGUUUAAUCCCGUGUUCUGCUCGUACCAUAUAGCUGAAACGAUUCGUGCUGGGGCGGAACCAGUAGCAUGGCCGACCUGGUGCCUUUAUGUACUCAACACCAGUCCCCCAGUUUCUGGUCUGGCGAGUGAAAUGAGUUAAGAGUAGAAACUGAUGGUCAAAUCUCACCAGCCCGGGGAGCUUCUCAUCUGAUCCUCUUUUUAUUGAGACGGGCCUGACCUGAUGUACCAUUUCUCUACUGAGGAGACUCCGACCUGAGCGUGGGCCUAAGUGAACCUGCCCAUAGCAUAUCUGGGCUUACUUCUAACCUGGCCUCUUGUAACGGUUGGUGACGUGGCAUCUCCAGACUCUUCGUAUUUGAAAUUUGAAACGACGGGCUAUCCGUUCUCGAUAUAUGGGGGGGGGUGAGCUGGCAUAUCCCAUCACUUAAAUGCUUCCAUUUCCCCCUUUUCGUUUCAAAUCCCUAGACUGGAGUCAUCAUUAUCUUGCUAUUCGUUUCUCCGCCGUCAACCAAAUUUUCUCUGAACUUUGCUCACACUUCCAGCGUCCGGAGUAUCCAUUCGCCGGGUGUUUUCUCUGUCACGGCAGCGCUAUCAGUGUCAGUCUAUUCCAGGUAUAGUCUUUAACCCUUUCCUCUGGUUGUUGUUGAUUGGGUUCUGUGUUGCCUUCUUUGUGUCCAUAUACUCGAGUUUUCUCUGUUUUCUUUUGGGGAUUUCGGUAUGUCAAAUCGGAAGAGGAAGUUAAUUGUUGAUGAGGGUGAUGAAGAGUCAGGGGACUCAGGCCUCAAUGUGCCAAUACCCACUGAUUACUUAGGCCCCUCCAGUAGUGUAGGUCCUUCCCAUGGCAGGGAUACCCUUGAAUACCCACGCCCUUUGGUUAUCUCUCCUUCCCCCGAACUAGAGCUUGUAGGGAAUAGAGGUGGACCUGCGUCGGGCUCUGGUGAGAAUCACAGUUCUGGUGGGGUUGGGAUCCCUGAAGGAGUUAGUGAUGGUAAAGGGAGCAGUUCCGGACCGAGCAGACCUGCUCAGAAAAGGAACCUAGGCCAUAUGGUGGAGGCUGAUUCCUACCCUAUUGAUUUCAUGGCUUGUGCCACCACCCCCACCGAUCUAUUUAAACUUAGGAAUCUCUACAACAUCCCCAACGAUGUUCUUCUUGUAGUCCCUGGGAAGGGUGACGUUCCUAGUCGGCCUCCGCGGGGGUAUGUGACGAUGCACCUAGAGAGUUUUAAACUAGGAGCUCGGCUGCCCCUUCAGCGUUAUUUUGCCAAGAUAUUGGAAGGUAUGCACCUGGCCCCAGGUCAGCUACACCCGAACGGGUGGAGGGUUCUAUCGGCUAUGUUUGUGUUGUGGGAGAGGUGCGGGUUGGAGGAGCCUUCCCUUGUUGAAGUGAAGCAUUUGUAUCAGCUGCGGAGCAGCCCAAGGGAGGCGGGCUGGUACUACUUCAUGUCCAGUUCUGCAAAGAAAAAGCCAAUCAUCGGUUUCCCCUCAUCGUGCAAGAAUUGGAAGAACAAAUUCUUCUUUGCUGGGGGAAAAUGGUGUUCAGCACUUCGUUCGUUGAGUGGUGAUCUUUACCUACCAACGCAGUUUGUCACCCCAGGUCGUUCAUUUUUUGCCUGUAUUCUCUUUCGAAUUGCCACUUAUUGGGUUCUUUAACCUUGUUUGUUAUUUCAGAGUCAUGGGGUUUGAUCGGGGGGCUUGAAGAUCGUCCCUUGCUUCAGGUGGAAACUGCUCUGGUGAAUGCUUCUACUUGCCAAGACCUCCUGUCUCCAACAAACUUGGUCGGUUCGGGCCUAGUGGAUAUAGCCGAUGGAAUGGAUAACAAGAUCCUCAGCGCGAUGAGCAGGAAGCGUGGUCGGGCCCCGAGCAGCUCCAGCAACCCUCCUCCUCCUCCGAAGAAACCUACCGUCGGUCCUUCCAAGGCGCCUGUUCCUGCUCUGCCUCCUCCUCCACCUCGUAAGAGUGGUGGGGAGAAAACCUCUGACAAGAGUCCUGAGGUCAGCUUGCAAUCUGGGGACCGAUCUUCUCCUCUCCCAUCUCGGGAUCAAGGUGAUUACCUGAGUCCAUAUCAGAAGGAUUAUAAAAAAUCGGUUGGGCCUAAGAUGGUGAAGGACAUCGAGAGCAUGAGCCUCUCCGAGUUGGCUGCUUCUGUUCAGAGAGUCUCAUUCAGGCUGGCCACAAUGGUCUCGUGCUACAAGAUCGGGUCCGCGCGUCAUGAGAAGAAGCUCCAGGCUGAUAACCAAGAGUUGAAAAAGAAAGUUGAAUCUGCUGACCGCUCCAAGGAGAAAUUGGCCGAGCUGAACAAACAGCUUACGGAGCUUGAGGAGAAAGUUGCUGUUGCUGAGUCCACUUCCUCCAAGCUUGAGGGCGAGUUGGGUGACCUGAGAUCUGAUCUUCAGGCUACUCAAAUUGAAAGGGAUACUCUGAGGGCUGCCCUUGAGAGGGAAAUCAAAUCCUUGGGUGAGCAGCUGGCUGAGGAGAAAGGCAAAUCUGCUGAUGUGGACGAUCGGCUGGAUGCCGAGUAUGACUCUGGGGUUGCCUUCUCCUAUAAGUGCAUCAUGUCUGUGCUUAAGGAAGAAUAUCCCGAGCUGGACAUGAGCAAGCUGGAGGCUGGAGUGGAGAGGUACAUGGCUGGGGUCGGCCAGGGAGAUAAGGAGCAAGGUGAGCAGAAUCAGGUGGAGGCUCCUUUAUAUGAGGUGCAAAAGGGGGGAGCUGGGGGACGUGCUUUUGAAAUUAGACAAGGAUCCAUGCCGCCUCCUCCCAGUAUUGCUGAUCCUCCACCUCCUGGGACAACUGAUCCUUCACCUGCUGAAGCCGUUGACCCUUCUAAUCCUUAGGUCUAUUUUUGUAUAGACUUUAGAUUUUCAUUAGUUUUGUAACCAACUGAACAUUAAUAAAUUUUCAGAUGCUCUUUAUUGGCUCCCUUGUCUAAUGUCUACUCAUAGACUGUUUCUGCAAAAUAAUUGCACAACUUAUCUGAUCUUGCCUGCUGGUUCCUUAGUGGACCGAGUAGGUGUAGGUAUUUACUUGCCUUAGUAAACUUCUCGUAGAAUUAGCUGCUGGUCUUUCGUUGACCGAGCAGAAACAGGCACUUUGUUGCCUUAGUAGAAAUUUUGAAGCUUUAGCUGCUGGUCUUCGUUGACCGAGCAGAAGUGGGCACUUGCCUUAGUGAACUUUCGAGAAUUUAGCUGCUGGUCUUCGUUGACCGAGCAGAAGUAGGCACUUGCCCUAGGAGAGUGUUCGUAGCUUUAGCUGCUGGUCAUUCGUUGACCGAGCAGAAACAGGCACUUUGUUGCCUUAGUAGAAAUUUUGAAACUUUAGCUGCUGGUCUUCGUUGACCGAGCAGAAGUGGCACUUGUCUUAGUGAAAUUUUUAUUGAUCUUGCUAGCAGGGGGAUUUCAUGCUGAAUUCAUCUUUAUUGAAAUUUGAAUGUAUUACAAAAACAUAGAAUAUAUGCAUGUGCGACAGGCCAUCAGGCAUUGUAACAGAAAUAACUUGCCAGAAUGAGGAUUUAAUAGAGCAUUUUGCUUACUGGAAAUACUUCUUCAGGUGUUCGGCGUUCCAUGACCUCUUCACAGCUCGUCCGUCUUGGCACGCUAAUUUAUAUGCUCCUGGUCCAGUGGCUCGUAUCACUCGGUAUGGGCCUUCCCACUUUGGGCCAAGAGCGCCAUGGUUAGGAUUCCUGGUGUUCUGGUUCACCUUCCUAAGUACCCAAUCUCCUGCUCGGAACUGCCUCACGCGUACAUUCUUGUUGUAAUAACGCAUGACCCUUUGCUGACAUUGGGCCACUUUCUGCGAGGCCCCUUCCCUUUUCUCCUCCAGUAGGUCUAGGCUUAAGCAGAUCUGCUCGUCAUUUUGCUCCUCAACGAAAUGUUCCGUUCUAUGUGUCCCCACUCCAAUCUCUGCUGGGAUUACUGCCUCAUGACCAAAAGCUAAAGCGAACGGUGUUUCUCCUGUGGCGGUUUUGUGAGUUGUCCUGUAGGCCCACAGUACCCCUGGUAGCUCGUCAACCCAAGCUCCCUUCUUCUCCCCCAAUCUAGUCUUUAUGAGCUUCUUUAUCACCUUGUUGGCUGCUUCCACUUGCCAGUUUGCCUGGGGGUGUGCGGGGGUGCAGAACUUCAGGUCCACCCCCAGGUUUCGGCAAAAUUCCCUGAAGUUGCCGUUGUCAAAUUGCCUCCCAUUGUCUGUUAUGAUGGCGUAGGGGAUCCCAUAUCUGCAGAUGAUGUUUUUCCAAAUAAAAUCUGUUAUCUUCCUCUCUGUGAUCUGGCUGAGGAUUCCUACUUCCACCCACUUGGUGAAGUAGUCUAUUGGCACGAUUGCAUGUGUCGCCGCUCCUCGUCCCUUUGGUAAUGGACCAAUCAAGUCGAUUCCCCAUUGAGCGAAAGGCCAUGGGGAUGUCAUAGCCGUCAGUUUCUCCGGUGGUUGUGCAGGAACCUCGGAGAAGCUUUGGCAUGUUUUACAAUUCUUGGCCAUCCUUUUGGCAUCCUGGUGCAUGGUUGGCCAGAAGUAUCCUUGCCGGAGUGCCUUGAAGGCUAAAGUUCUUGCUCCCGAGUGAUUGCCGCAUAUUCCCUCAUGAAUCUCUCUCAGCACAUAAUCCGCCUCCUCAUCAUCCAAACAUCUCAAAAGGGGUAAGGUGAACCCUCGGCGGUAUAGCACUCCAUCUAGUAGCGUGUACCUCGCUGCUCGGCAUUUUAACUUUCUUGCUUGCCUUUUGUCUUCCGGUAAAACUCCAUUGCGGACAUAUGCGCGAAUCGGGUCCAUCCAGGAUUCUCCAAUAUUUACACUCAUCACCUCUGCUUCUUUCUCAAUACUUGGUGAGGUCCUUACCUCUAGUGGAACUGACUUCGGUAAUUUUGGAUCUGCGAUGGCUGCCAUCCUAGCCAGCAUAUCGGCUCGGAAAUUCUCAUUCCGGGAUAUCUGUUUUACCUCCACUGCUUGGAAAAGCCCAACCAUCUGCUUCGCCUUCUUCAAAUAAAGACCCAUCUUCUCUCCCUUCGCUUGAAACUGAUCAUUGAGCUGAUUACACACCAAUUGGGAAUCUGCUCGAAUUUCUACUCUCUCUGCUCUGAGAGCGUGUGCAAGUCCGAGCCCGGUGAUAAAGGCUUCAUACUCAGCUUGGUUGUUUGUGAGUUGAAAUUCGAACUUCACCGCGUAUGUUACCUCGGUUCCCUCUGGGCUCCGUAUUACAGCUCCUGCUCCGGAUCCUUGCUCACUACAUGAUCCGUCAACCAUUACCAGCCAUAUCUCCUUUGAAUCCUCGUGCUCUACCGGUUGUUCCUCUUGGACCUCUUCCCCCGGUUCAACACGGUCCACCAUAAAAUCUACCAAGGCUUGGGCCUUGAUUGCUCCUCGGGGCCUGUAGGACAGGUCAAAUUCGCUCAGCUCUACGGACCAUUUUACUAACCGACCAGACGUAUCUGGUUUUUGAAGUACUUGCCGAAGUGGCUGGUCAGUCAUCACAACGAUCUGGUGGGCUUGGAAGUAUGGUCGGAGUUUGCGUGCUGCCGUUAUCAAUGCCAGCGCCCACUUCUCCAUUAGUGGAUAUCUGGUUUCUGCGUCCACCAGGGCCUUGCUUGUGUAGUAUACCGGGUGUUGCUUCCCUUCUACUUCCCUGACUAAGACCGAGCUGGUAGCCUGCUUAGAGAUUGCCAAGUAUAAGAGCAGCUGGUCACCCUCUCUCGGAGUUGAUAGUAACGGGGCGUGGGCUAGAUAUUCCUUCAGCUGUCCAAAUGCCCCCUCGCAUUCCGGUGUCCAUUCCAUCUUCUUCCCUUUCUUUAUGACUUGGAAGAAAGGGUGACAUUUAUCAGUGGCUCGCGAAAUGAAUCGGUUCAAUGCUGCCAACUUCCCCGUAAGGCUCUGCACCUCCUUAACUGUUCGUGGGGACCUCAUUUCUAUCACCGCCCGUAUCUUUUCUGGGUUGGCUUCAAUACCUCGAUGGCUCACCAGGUAUCCCAAAAAUUUACCCGAACUGACCCCAAAUGCACAUUUCUCCGGGUUCAGCUUCAUUUUGUACCUCCUCAGCAAUUCGAAAGUCUCUUCCAAGUGCUUCACAUGGUCUUUCGGUUCUCUUGACUUGGUGAUCAUAUCGUCCACAUAUACUUCCAUGGUGCGACCGAUCAAUGGUUUGAAGACCUUGUUCACUAACCUUUGAUAGGUAGCUCCUGCAUUUUUCAGGCCAAAGGGCAUCACCCUGUAACAAAACAAACCCAUGUUAGUUAUAAAUGUGGUGUUUUCCUCAUCCUGCUCGUUCAUGGGUAUCUGGUUGUAUCCGGAGAAGGCAUCCAUGAAACUGAGCAGACUAUGACCCGCGGUUGAGUCCACCAGCUGAUCUAUUUUGGGCAGGGGAAAGCUGUCCUUCGGGCAUGCCUUAUUGAGGUCCGUGAAGUCUACACACAUUCUCCACUUCCCAUUGGCCUUCUUUACCAAUACCACAUUGGAAAUCCAUUCCGGGUACUUAACUUCCCUUAUAAAUCCUACUUUCAGCAGCUUUUCCACCUCGACAUUUAUGGCUUCGUACCUUUCAUGGUUGAAGCAUCUCCUUUUCUGCCUCACCGGCUUUGCCCCUCUCUUGACCGCCAGCUUGUGACAAGCUAUCCCGUGGUCAAUACCUGGCAUAUCCUCAUGAGACUAAGCAAAUAUGUCUGCAUGGGACUGUAGACACUUCACCAGCUCUGUCUUUAUUUCUCUACCCAAUUCUGAUCCGACCUUAACAACUCUGCUAGGGUCACUCCUGCUUACAACAACUUCCUCCAGCUUCUCAACCGGUUCCUGACGACCAUUUUUUGAAUCCCCUCGGUUAUCUAGAGAGGUAACUUGCAGCGUUUCCUUGGCCGCUGUAGCAUAGCAGCUCCUGGCCAUUCUCUGGUCGCCCUUUACUACACCCACAACUCCAUUUAUUCUGUACUUCAGCGCCAGAUAAUGCGUUGACAUUACACAUUGGCUUAUCCUCAUGAACGGUCUCCCCAAUAUCAUCUGGUAAGGAUUUCUUUCCUCUACCACUACAAAGUCCAGCAUCAUCGUUCUUUCAAGUGGCUUUGUCCUUACAGUAACCGGGAGUUCAAUGACCCCCAUGGGAGUUAACCGUCCCCCUCCAAAUCCCUUCAAGGAUGUAUUCGUUCGCUCCAGCUUUAAAUCUGAAAUCCCCAUAUCAUCUAAGACCGACUUAAACAGAAUGUCUACUGAGCUGCCCGUAUCUACCAGUAUUCGCCGCAAUUCUGUACUGACCACCAAUGCUUUAAUCACCAGCGCAUCCUCGUGAGGGUAUAAAAUGCCUUCUUCGUCGUCCUCUGUCAACAUAAUAGGAACUUGCCGCACUUUUGCCCUCUUGGCUGCUGGCAAAUUGAAAAGCACUUCUUUGCUAGUCAGGGCGUAUCUCCCAUAGUUCUUCCGUGCCCUGUUUGAAUCCCCGGCCAAUGUUGGCCCUCCUGCUAUAACUUGGAUAGUCAGCUGUUCUUGUUCCAAACCCCUUUCAACUCCUUCAUCCUGUGCAUAUUGCGACUCACUGACGGGGAACACUCCAUCUACGUACUCAUCCAAGUAUUGGUUCCUCACCAAAUCCUCCACCUGAAUCCUUAGGUCACGGCAUUGGCUGAUAGUAUGACCGUGAGUGUUGUGGAAUUUGCAGAACCUGCUCUUAUCACGCCGGUGAGCGGGUUUCGNNNNNNNNNNNNNNNNNNNNNNNNNNNNNNNNNNNNNNNNNNNNNNNNNNNNNNNNNNNNNNNNNNNNNNNNNNNNNNNNNNNNNNNNNNNNNNNNNNNNCCUUUCGUAUAGUUCCUCCAUGGAGAUUUUUAAAGGAGUAUAUCGUCUAUAUACCGCACUCUGGUCAACCAACUGAACUGCUCGGCUAUCAUGGACGUCACUUCGGGCUGGUAUAGCCGGUAACUGCUCUGGUCGGCCAGACCUGUAAUUGGUCGCGUUUACCUCUCUGGGAGUGCGGUGGUAAGGGUGGGCAGUCACCUGCCUGAAUUCUCGCUGCCGCUCUGGGAUCGGGGGGCGCGGAGGUUGAGCCCGGCUGUGUUGGAACUGUUGUGCUCUCUGAGCUAUGGGGUAAGGGCGAGACCGAGCUGAUAUUCCGCCCAUCCCCGAAGAUUCUCCAGUUCGCUUUCCCGACCCGCUCCCUUUCGGGGCUCUCCGUUCUCUUCGCCUCAGCUCUUCCAGCUAUUCAUUUUUAAUUCUUGCUGAUUUUUCCUCUUCGAUUUCUAUAUCUCGUUUCGCUUGCUCAUACCCCGACGAGUAAUUCUGUACGAGGGGGCUUCUUAAGUUAUACCACAAUCGGCCGAUUCUUACACCUUCUUUUAAUCCCCUCAACGCCUGCGGGUGAUUAAAAGCUCCCAAAUCCAGCACGGCUCGGUGAUAUCGUUUUACGAAAUCGCGAAGGGAUUCAUGCUCCUCCUGCUUCAUCCCCAUCAGCUCCAUCAUGUCAUCCUCUGGGGCCACCGCCCCUCGGAACUGCUCGGCCAACUCCUGGCACAUCUGCUCAUACCCCUUUAUUCCUCCUCGGGGCAGCUUGCGGUACCAUUCUCGGGCUCGUCCCUCUAGUGUCAACGGGAACACCCUGCAUCUCUGAGCUGGUGUCAGCCCCUGCACACCCGUCAUGUCGUUGAAACGCUCAAUGUGCACCAACGGGUCACUUCGCCCGGAGUAUUUGAGGUCAGGGAAGCGGAAAUCUCUUGGGAUUACGGUGCUCAUGAUCUCAAUUGAUAACGGAGAUUCUUCAUCUAGCAUUAUCCUCCAGCUCGGGGGCUUUCUCUUGCCCUGCAUCUCCUCUAUCACCUGCGCCAAUCUGCGCACCUCCCCCUCCAAUUCUAUAGCGCGAUCAGGAUCACGUGCAGCUGUCUGGUCUCGCUCCUGCUCGACGUUCUGCAACCGCUGUCUGAGCUCUCCUUCAUCAACACUGGCCCCUCGGCCAUUUAUUUCCAGUACCCGUCCGGGGCGAGGUUGGUCUCUCCCUUCAUCCACGUGUUCCCCUGGGACCCGGCCAGUACUUCGGUGGGGAUGCACUCCGUUAGGUUGGUCUGCGGGUGGAGGGAUUUCCCCGACCCUACGCCCCCGGAGACUGGGUUCUGCUCCAACUCCAUCUCUUCCCACGGGGGUUUCAUAAUCCCUUCUCCGCUCGUCCCUCAGCUCAAACACUACGGUCGCGAGAGUCUCCAUUUGUUUCUCCAUCCGCUCCAGUCUAUCUUGCAUCAUCCUCUCUCGGGCUUCAUUUGCAAUCUCCCGUAGAGUGAUUGUCUCCACCGUUUCAUUAUCCUCCCUUAAAGUAUCCUUUCUUGACGCAUCCAUAUCCAAUCGUUCGCUACUUCUCAGGUAAAUACUAACUUGGUGGUAGCUUUUUAUUCAGCUCCCCACAGACGGCGCCAAAAUGUUGAUGCUGAGAUCUGCUCGUCCUUGGACCGACCAGAUUCUUUCACCAACGCUUAAGUUAUCGACUGUUGCUCGAACCACUAAGGCCGGGAUCACCCUCCUUUCUCUCACUAGACCUGCGUUCACCAAAAAUGGAUCAGAGACGCCGGUGGUUUUGCCGGCGUAAACCCUCCGAUGCCUAAGUUAGCACAAGGUGUUUACGGGAAAACAAUAUAAUUUGGGUUCAAGAAGUUUGUUCGAGAUCUGUAAGAAAAUAGUCUCGUUGCAAUUUGGCAGCGUUUUCCCUCUCUUAAUUUUUUUCUGUCCUGUCUUCUUCGAUGUCUUUCUCUUUUAUAGCCGCCCUUUGUCCCACGUUUUUCGUUUGCCCCUUAUCCCUCCUUUUUCGGGUGGUGGUAGCCCCUCAUGGGACUCUAACUGUUAGAUUGUGGACAAACGUGGAUCUCGCGUGUCCUUCAACCGUUCUGGGAGAAGCGCAACUACCGCGAUUUUGUGAGAUCGUGUUCCCGCUUUCCUGGGGAUGAGUAUCGGCUCGGCGUAUACUUCUGGUCGGUAUGUUUUCCUGGUCGCAUUCAUCUCGGGUCGGCUCCUGUUUAAUCCCGUGUUCUGCUCGUACCAUAUAGCUGAAACGAUCCGUGCUGGGGCGGAACCAGUAGCAUGGCCGACCUGGUGCCUUUAUGUACUCAACAAUGAUAUUUGACCUCUUUUUAUCUCGUCAGUCCUCAUUUUUUAAUUAAUUCAUUAUAAAUCUUUUAAUCUCUAAUUUAUCAUCAUUAUUAUUAUAAUUUUAUCAUACUUGCACAAUCACACUGAUAUCCAAGCGAUCGACCAACUGUAGAGUUACUUCAAUUUUUAGAGCUAUUGUUACAUUAAUCUCGAUUCUUUAUUUCUUGAAAAAUUUCUUGCAAAAUGAUUAAUCAAAUACAAAGAUGACAAAAAUUUCUUAAUUAAAAAAAAGUAGAAAAAGAAGAAGAAGAAGAAACUAAGCAUUCAUGUUGCCACUAACAUGGUGGUCUUAAGUAUAUGUGAACAAAGUGGUUGUUUAAGGCCCCAAAUUUUAGAAAGACCUUAUUUUUUUAGUAUUAAUAAUAAUUUUUUAGUUAAUAAAGAUUUUUUACCUUUUCAACUUCUUAAAAGAACUCAAUUAUUCAAUGUUAGAACUUUCAACUUUGAGUAUUCCUUUUAAUUUCUAUUAAAAAUCUUAUAAUCUAGAAAAUAGAUGAAAAAUUUCUUGUUCUCUCUAUAAUGAGGAUUAUUACAUGCAUUAGUUCAUUCAAAAAAGAAAAAAAAAAUAGUUCACUCAAAUAUUGCUCCUUUGCUGGCUUAUAUGGUCCGGCCUGACUGCCAUUUACUUGUCUAUGAAUUCAUGAAGAAUGGAAGUUUACAAGAGAUUCUAAACGAUGUCUCACAAGGAAGAAGAGAAUUAGAGUGGCUAGCUAGACACAGGAUUUCACGAGGAAUAGCUUCUGGGCUUGAGUAUCUUUAUAUGUACCAUAGGCCUCGUAUAAUCCAUAGAGAUAUCAAGCCAGGGAACGUGCUUAUAGACGAUGAUAUGGAAGACAGGAUUUCUGAUUUUGGUCUUGCAAAGGUAUUGUACUGCCUGAUGGUCAUACACAAAUCAGAGCUUCGAAUACUGAUUUUGGUGUUGCAGAGGUAAUGCCUGCUGGACAUGCGCAAGUCAAAACUUCGAAUUUGGCGGGAACGGUGGGAUACAUAGCCCCAUAGUAUCACCGGACACUAACAUUCUCUGACGAGUGUGAUAUAUACAGCUUUGGGGUGUUGCUAGCUGUUUUAGUGAUGGGAAAGCUUCCAUCCGAUGAUUUUUUCCAACACACCGAAGAGAUGAGUUUCGUUAAAUGGAUGAGAAAUGUCAUGAAUUCUGCGAAUCCUAACCGGGCUAUCGAUUCGAAGCUCCUCGGCAAUGGGUAUGAGGAGCAAAUGCUUCUUGUUUUGAAGAUUGCUUACUUUUGCACUUUGGAUGAUCCAAAGCAGAGACCUAAUAGCAGGGAUGUUAGGUAUAUGUUUGUCUCAGAUUCAGCACUAAUUAAGGAUUUGGAUUUUUUUAAAAUGUACAAGAGCAUAACAACGUCACUUGUGAUGAACAAUUUAUGCUCUUGAAUUAAGUUGUACAAUUACGAUCCCCUCUGAGUUUUCACUUGUCUAAUCGAUACAGAGCGGUUCAGGUUAUUAUACAAAGUAGAAACCAUUUCUGAAAUGUGGCAUACUUGCUAUAUUUCGGCAGUCGUAUGUUUCUGGCAACAUAUCAAGCCUUUCAUUUUGCAUAAGAAAAAUAGCAAGAACAGCUCGAUGUUGCUAGUUCGUUCUAUAAGCAUAUGCUAACACACAUUGAGAGAAUCUUUCCAAAAAAAAAAAAAAUGAGAAAGAGAAAAGUUCCAUGCAAGUGCAUUUUAGCCAUUGUAAUUUUGAAGAGUCGCUUCUAUUUUGUAUUUUAACUUUUUCUUUUUUAUUAUAAUAAAUACAUUUUCCACCAAAGAGGGACCACUUUAUAAUACUUUUUUCUUUACUUUAAUACUUUAAAUAAUCUUUGGUUUACUUUUUUUUUAACUUUAUUUCAUUUACUUUUAUUUUUAACUCAUUACGUUUAAUGGCGGAUUCAUUCUGAUGAAAAGAAAUCGCACAAUCGGGUCACUCAAAAAAAUCAAAUUUUUAUUUAUGUUCAAUUUGAUUCUAAAAGUUAGUUAGAGCUACUCGUAUCUUUUCCUUUAUGUAGGUUAAGAAAAAAACUCAGAAAAGGCUCCUUCAACAGCAGCUAAUCAUGUUCGUUUUUGAUCUUUUAAAUUUAUUUACCAACUAGCCCAAGAUGUCUUUAAAUUUGAGAAUCAUAGGGGAAAAUAUAUAUAUAUAUUAUCAGUGGGAACACUUAAGCCGCCUCAACCUGCACACUAUAAAGGUAAAUCAAAAGACAAUUAUGAAAGGCUCAAAUUCUCAGCGAAGAUAAGUGAUCAAAAGAGGAAAUGGGGCUAGAAACCGAAAGGCAGUAAAGUAUCUCAAAGGCAGUGCGGUACUUAUAAAUGAUUUUAGGAGUUUUAUAUUUUUAUCUAAUAAUUACUAAUUUUAUCUUUCUAAAAGAUUACCAAAAAAAUCACUUCAGCAUUCAAUCCAAAUCUCAUUAUAUGAUGUUAUAAUUUAUUUAUAUUACAGUAUUAAUAGUGACAUAAAAUUUAAUUAACUGUUCACAUAAUUAGUAUUUGUUAUGAUAAUGUUGUGAUUUUAAUUAUUUAGAAUCUGUUUUACCUGUUAUUGUAACGGUUAAACACAUUUUUUAAGAUUAUAUAAUAAAAAAAGGUAUAAUUUUUUUUUAAUAUUUAUUUUAACAUUACCACAACUCAAUUUUAUUAUCAUCUUAUUCUUUUUUCUUCACCUAAAAAAAGAUUGUUAAAUUAAUAAAUAUUACGACUAAGCUCUCGUGGAAAACCGAAGUCAUUUCCAAAUAUUUAGAAAAAAGUAAAAAUAUUCCCGUAUACACCAAUUGUUUGGAAGUCCUCAAUAGCGGUAAAAAUUUAGUGGUGCGCUUUACUCUUGAGAAAGCAGCACAAAUGAACCAUAAAACUCCACCAUAUUUAAUGAUUUUAAAAUCAGGAUCAUUAUAGUACUACAACAUAGGUCAUACAAAUAUGUGUUUUGCUUGAUUAAUUAGAAAUAGAGAACAACAUAAUAGAACAGCAUGAACCCACCACCGGACACCAGUUUUAUAUAUAUUUUUUUAAUGUAUUGCCUUACGUACGAUAACUCGAUUUCUUGUAGACUCAUAUGUGAACAGAUUUGAACCUCAAACAUAUAAUCUUACUUCAACAAGUUUUACCGUAAAAUUAGCUAGCACCAUUUGUAAUGUUGUUGAUAGGCUUUGAUAUUUAAAAAAGAUAAAAAAAAAAUUGAGUAAAAACUAGCUAGAUUAAUCAAUUAGUUUGCCCUUUCUUUUAUCUUAUUGAUACAAUAAUAUUAGAAAUUCUAACAUUUGAGUUUCAGUUUGAGUCCUAUUAUUAUGUGUCAUUUAUUUAUCGAAUGAUUAUUUCAUAACUUAUAAAAUUACUUAACUACCAUCUAAUACAUAAAUACUACAUCACUUAAAAUUCAAAUUGAGACUUGUAUGGUAUGGUAGAAUGUCUAGCACAAAGUAGAUACAGUAAUUAAUGGAGAACAAAUUGUAACUCUCUUUCUUUUAUGGCUAUUUGAAUUUUUUACUUAUUUUACAUUUUUAUGGCUUUCAAUCUCUUUAUUUACCUUUGUGCGUCUGAUUUUCCUCUACUUCCCUUAUCUGAACCUUGACUUAAGUAAUAACGAGAAUAAAUAAAUACGUACGGAAUGGAUCCGUGAUCCCUUGCACAAAUUUUUACUUUUAGAUACGGAUGUAUAUAUAUAAAGAGUCAAUUUGUGUAAAACUUAGCUGAUUGUGCAAAUUAUUAGUUGUUGGGAUUUUAAACAAACGACAAGCAAUUUACGAUUUAUCUGCAAUAAUUAGGCUUGGAAAAAUUAGUAGUUAGUUAAUGUUAUUAUGAUAAUGUUUUGAUUUUAACCAACAAUUCACAUAAUUAGUAGUCAGUUAUGAUAAUGUUUUGAUUUUAAUUAUUUAAAAUUUAUUUUACCUGCUUUCUAUCGGUUAAACAAAAUUUUUAAAAUUAUAUAAUUAAAAAAAUAAGUAUAGUCUCUACAAACUUCAAUAUUUUUUCUUUUUUAAAAAAAGAUAUGUAUUUUAACAUUAACGCAACUCAAUUUUGUUUAUCAUCUUAUUCUCUCUUCUUCACUAAAAAAUGGCUAAAUUAAUAAAUAUUGUAACAACUGAUAGUGUCUUAUGGCAGCCUCAAUAACUAGGCUCGGGGGGUAACCGAAGUCAUUUUCAAAUAUUUAGUUAAAAAAAAUCCCAUAUAUACUAAUUGCUUAAAAGUCCUCAAUAGCAUUAAAAAUUUAGUAGUGUGCUUUACUCUGAGAAAGCGACACAAUGAACCACAAAAUUCCACCAUAUUUUAUUAUUUUAAUAUCAGGAUAUAAGUCAUGCAAAUGUGCAUUGAGCUUCAUGAAUUAGGAGCAGAGAACGACGUAAUAGAGCAGCAUGAACCCACCGCCAGUUAAAAAUAUAAUUAAUGGUGUGGGACUGUAAUUAUAUGGAGUACAUCCUUUGAUCUUCAUUGACCAACUAUUUCACCUACACAGUCCCUUUUCAGUGCACCGUGCCCGUUUGAUUUUAUUGAGAACCUUGCCUCUGUCUGUGUGUGCGCGUGCGUGCAUGUGUGGGGCUCAACCAUGAGAGUUAAAAAAAAAAUUAUUUGGAAGCAGGAUGUGAAAGAGCUUGAUGUUCUUGGCAUUGCUAUUGUUGAGAGUGAAGGGUUCGGUGGUCAGAAUUUCGCAAAACAAUAACCCAUCAAGGGUUGCCAAGGGUGUUACUGACAUAGACGCAUCAAUGCUUAAGUCAAAGACUGAGAGCAGCACGAUAACAAAUAAAUAAUAAAAGAAAGAAAAGAGAGUAAGAGAAAACCCUUGAAGGAUAUGCACCCCUCCUCCAAUAUGCCUAUUUCUCAUGCAUUUCUUCGUGUUGUAUUAUAUAUCUUUAAGUAGUGACCUUUUUUAUAUAAAAGAAAUAAUCAGAAGUAUAAUUGAGUUAGGAAAACCUAUCUAUUAUCUUGUAAAAUUCGAGUUUGACAAGAAUUAGAACUUGUAUUACUUUAUCCUAUUUAUAUUAGGACAUAUUAUUGGAUGUGGGUCCUCGGACUUGAGUUUGGUAGAAAUAUGGGCAUAACAGGAGCCCUCAGUUUAUAAUAUUCACGAGUUUACGAGUGAAUGCUAGAAAUUGAUAUAGUUUAUAGUAUGUAAAAAAAAUUUAUUAUCACUCAUUGAAUGUUGUGAGGACAUCUUGAGUGUCAUGAGCAAAUCUUCAAUGAAGUGAGAAGAAAACAAAUGACAUGAGAAAUCUCGAAUGUCAUGAGGACAACUUGAAUAGUAUGAAGACAAUAUAAACGACACGUGAAAAUCUCAAAUAUCAUUAGGAUAACUCGAAUGACAUGAGGAGAUCUAAAAUGUCAUGAUAUAGGCCAUGAAAUUAAGAUAAUGUCUCGUCAAGGGCCAUUAAAGUAAGAUAAUGUCACGAUAGGGGCCAUAAAAUUAAAAUAAAGCUGCGCCAAGGGCCAUUAAAGUAAGAUAAUGCUGCGAUAUGGGUAAUAAAAUUAAGAUAAUGUUGCGAUAAGGGCUAUUAAAGUAAGAUGAUGUCGCAAUAUGGACAAUAAAAUAAGACCGCGACAACGGCCAUGAUAACUAGACUCAGGCCGCAGUAAGGACCAAAAUAAUUGAACUUGGGCCAUGACAAGAGCAAAAAAUAAUUGAACUCGGGCCAUGACAAGAGCAAAAAAUAAUUGAACUCGGGCCAUGACAAGAGCAAAAAAUAAUUGAACUCAUGCUACAAUAAGGGCCGAAAAAAUAGCUGAACUCAGGUUGCGUAGUGCUUCCAAGUGUAUGAGGCUGAGUUUAGUACUACGAGAUUGAGGCCCAAGAGCAAGAUCUGAGGCCUAUGAGCAAGAGGUCGAGCUACGGGUGAUGAGAUUGAGGCCUAGAGUAUGAGAUCGAGAUACAUAUUAUAAGAAAUUUCUUUUUAUAAUUUUGUGUGGGAAUAGAGAAUUUGGGACAAAGUCGAUGAAGUUGAAGAAUAUGAUGAAUUAGAGGAGACUGAUUUUGAAGAAAAUAUUGAGGAACUAGAGGAGAUUGAAUUCAAUAACAGUGAAAAUAUGCAGAUAAAGAAUUGAGGAGCCAAAGUUUGGGAUGUUUUUUCCGUAAUCGUGAGUUUCUAGUUAUAACUUUGUGAAUUGUGGUGGAUGUGGCUACAAUGUUGCUUUAGGAGUUGUCGAGGUUGUGGCUGUAGCAUGUUUAUUUUUCAGGAGUCUUUUAAGUCCCGCCCACACCCCCUCCUUUGUUUCUUUUUUUCCGUUUAAGAGACCUUUUAGUUCAUUUGUUAUUUUUCAUUUGGAUAUUCUCAAGAUCCCACACAUUCGACAUUGAUUUCGCUUUAUUCACUUGUUUUUGAAAUUUUUGGUAGAUUGCUUGUACUCUUCUAUUAGGAGAUUUUGGUUUUUGUCCCCCUCCUUAUAUUUUCUUCAUUAUAUGAUUUAUAUAAUAAGUAAGAGUUCAAUCGAACUGCCACAUGUGGUUUUUUUUUUUUUUUUAAAGUUAAGUCAGGAUUUGACUCAAUGUAAAUAUGAUUUUCUAAUUAGUUAAAGCAAGCUAGUUUAAGUCAAGGAUCCACAAGUGAAUCGCUUCACUAGUUGAUACAAUAAUAAUAAGCUCAUAAGAGUAAUUUUCAAUCAUUUUGACUAGUUUAAACUGCUCUCGGACAAAAGCUUUAUUGAUUUAGGGUAGGCAAAAAUUCCCGGGUCAACCCAAGCGUAGCCCAACCGCCUUAAGCUGCGGGCUUUUAGCCUAGUCAUCCACAUGAGGGCUUAGACAAGGGCUUAAGAAAAAAAAAAAGCUCAGGCCAAGUCCAACCCUCUAUUUUAAAAAAAAUAAUUAUAAAUUAGAAUAAUAAAUUAAAAUUUAAAAAGGAAAAAAGGAAACUCAAAUUCCUAAUUCCUAAUUCAUAAAUCAAUAAUGAUUCAAAAAAUCUAAAAUUAUAAUAUUAAACUCUCUCUUAAGCAUUGAUUAAUUAAGAGGUUGCUUGAACAAAACAUUCCAGUAUUAAAAAAAUAAAUCUCUAAACUUUUAUUUGUUUUAUUUUCUUAAUUUACUAUUUUAUUUUAAAAUAUUUAUUUUAUGUAAUUCAUUAUUAAUUAUAACAACUUGUUGAUUAUCAAUUCAUUUUAAGAUUAUAAUAAUUUUAAAAAAUAGUAAAGGUCCAAGCUUAGCCCAAAUCUGAUCUAACCCUUCCGCUUUCUCUUUUCAAGCCCAAGCCCAAACUCGCAUUUUGCUAACGCCGCCAGAGUUCGACCUCCAAUAAUAAUAACGAGUAAUGUUUGGCUAAAAUCAAUGAGAUUUAAAUGCUGAUUAUUUUUGCUUCAAUGAAUUUAAAUAUUAAUUUUUUUCUUUCGAUGAGUUCACAGUUGGCUAAUUAUUUGUUUUAUAAAAAUAAAACAGUGAAGAAAUAGAAAAAUAACCUUUUAGGAAAAAAAAAACGAAAAAGACAAAACCGUGUUGAUCCCAGAUGAUGACUUUAUUCUUCUCUUUCCCCAAUGGAUUUUCAGGCGCAUGGCCUCACUUAUCUGAAAGAAUCUCGUGUAGGCAAUUCUUAUUAAGGUGAGAUGGUUGGGACAUAUCACCUAUCCUUUGUAAUUUAUACAAAAAAUCCGAAUAUAUCGACUAUUAAACUUGAAAAUAUUAAUGAGAAAGCAACAUGUGACGAUUAAAUAAAGGAAAAAAUGAUAAAUACACCCCCAACGUUUAGGCAAAGGGAUAAAAAUUCUCCUAAUGUUUCAAAAAAGAUAUUUACACCCAAUUUAUUAUAAUUUUACUAUUAUACUUUUCUAGCAUAUAAAAAAAAUUAUUAGAUUAUCCAAUUUGUCUAUAUAUUGUUAAUAAAAUUAUAAAUAUACCCUCAUUGCCUCAUUCUUCUAUUUAAAUUUUUAUCAAUAAUCAAUUUUCAAAAAAGACAUCUACACACUUAAAAAAAAUUGUGAAUAAAUUAUAAUUUUAAGAAUAAAAUUGGUUAUUAAUACCAUAAUAAAUAACAUAGAAAAUUGGUUAUAAAUAUACCAGUUUAAAUGAUUGACAUGUGGAGAAUUGUUAAAUAUACAAGUUUAAAGUUUAAUAAAUAACAUAAAAAAUUAGUUACAAGUUUAAAUGAUUGACAUGUGGAGAAUUGUUAAAUAUACAAGUUUAAAGUUUAAAUAAAAUUAUAAUUUAUUUACAAUUUUUUUAGGUGUAUAGAUUUUUUUUUUUUUAAAUUGGUUAUUGAUAAAAAUUUGAAUAGAGGAAUUGGACAGUGAGGGUUAGGGUUGGGCAAAAUCAAGUUCGGGUCGAGUUCAGAUCAACCCGAUCGGGUUUCGGGUUAGACAAAAAUCAAUCCGAACAUAGCCCGAAUUAUUGAUCCGACCAGAACAUAGUUUGGGUCGGGUCAAUAAUUCGGGUUACGUUCGGGUUGGAUCGAGUUGGAUUUAAAACGGAUAGGACUUGGGAAACUUGAAAAAAGUUGAAGCUUGAAACUUGAAAGUGGAAGGUGGAAACCGGAAAGCUUCAAAAUCAGGUUCGGGUGGAGAGGAUUCGGCCUUCAAGCAGCAGAUCGGUGGCCACGGCUCACGGCUGGACGGACGGGAUUUUACUUGGCAGCAGAUUGCGGCUUCACUUGGGAGUUGACAACAGCAGAUCGCGGAGAUGCGGACGGCUCACAGCUCACAGCUGGUCGCGACUUCACUUGGCAGCAACAGAUCAUGAUUUCAGCAGUUGGCAGCAACAGAGCGCGUCUUGUGGUGGCUGGUUGCAGACUUGCGGGUUGUGGCUGCCUUGUUCAGUUGUUUGUGUUUGUUUAGUUGUUCAGAUAAUUAUCGGCUAUUAAACGUGGAAAUAUUAAUGAACAAGCAGCAUGUGACGAUUAUUUAAACCACGUACUGGGAGUACUGAUACAGAUAAAAACACUUAUAAUCUAAGCGCGUAAAAUCAAAUGAUUAAGUAAGUACUGAUCACCAUAAAUUUACUAAAAUUCUAGCCGUUUAAUACCUUGCUUUUAAUCCGGCAUCCAACGGUUGUUGUUUGGCGAAAAAGAUCAAAAGGGUAAGCGCGUGGGAUGUGAAGAGAAGUGGAGGCUCAAUCACCUGUUUGUUAGCCUUCGUUUAAAUAACGAAGAAGAAACCACCAGGCCGAUCGACAGAGGAAAAGUAAAAGACAAAUGACAAGCGACCAAACCGUGUUGGUCCCACAUGAUGAGUCAUUCCUCUCUUUCCCUUGUGGACUUUCGUGCGCAUGGCUGCGUAACAUACCCACGACCAAGUCAGUCGAAUCUUUUUGUCUUCGUUAAUGUGGGAUAUUUUCUAUAUUUCAGCAGUCGUGUUUCUGGAAACACAUCGAGCCUUUCAUUUUGCAUAAGCAAAAUAGCAAUAGAAGCUCAAUAAUGGUAGUUCCUUCUAUAAGCAUUUUCUAACACAUAUAUUGAGAAAGUCUGCAAAAUUUAAGAGAAUUCUAGGCAAGUGCAUUUUAGUCAAUCACAGUUACUUGUUUGUUAUUUCCCUCCAUUGAAAUAAGGAAGAAGAAGCCACCAGCCCGAUCGAUCGACAGAAGGAAAAAAAAAAAAAUGCCAAAGUUCACUCUUGGUAAUUCCUUUCGUUUUGGCAGCAAAAGAGAAACCGUCUCUAACUUUCAUUCUGAAUCUAUUGAGACGAUACUACAGAAGUUGACUAAAGAUUGGCUUGGGCAGUUUGCUCGACAAGCGCAGAUCCAGGCCGAUCUGAUUGGGUGGAAGACGAUGAUGGUGAAGAUUAAUAAGGUGCUAGAUGAUGCCAUCGAGAAGCAGACGAAGGAGGAGCCAGUGAAGAUAUGGCUAGGCAAACUUCAGCACUUGGCUUGUGAUGUUGAUUACUUGUUGGAUGAGUUCCAAACGGAAGCUUUCCAGACGAUGUUGCUGCAAGAUGCUGAUGCGAUGUCUAAAGUAAAGGAGGUCAAUGCUCGAUUGCAAGAUAUUGCAUGGCAAAUAAACGUACUAGGUUUGAAAGAAAGUUUCGGAGGGAAGUCUAGAAAUGUCAGGCAAAGAUUUCCCACGACCCCGUCGGUGAGUGAAAUACCUUAUAAAUAUUGAAAUUCAAACCGAAAAGUUUUACCGCAAACUGGCAGAAAUAGUGAUAAAUCGGCAUCAAUUUUCUCAGUUAAUUAAAAAUUAAGACAAUAGAUACUGAUUUGUCACUGUUCUUAUCAAUAUCUCGAUCUCCUUAGUAAUUUUUCACCAAUAUAAAUGGUAGGGAAAAACAUAAAGAAGAGAUAUUGAACCGUGCAUGCUACAAAAAUAAAGACUAAAUAUUAAUGCUAAUUCAACAUGUUUUCUUUUGUUCUGAAGCUAAUCUCAGCGGCAGUAAGAGGUGGAAGUCGAGAUCGUGGUCCCACAAUCUUUAGUCCACUAAUCGAGAAAGAGGACUUGGCUUUUUUGAAAAAAGAAGAUUGUUUUGCUUCUUUGGAGAAAAUAGGUUCAGGUGGGUGCGGAGAAGUUUACAAAGCCGAGCUACCAGGAAGCAAUGGAAAGAUGAUUGCUAUUAAGAAGGUCAUUGUUUAUGCUCCAAUAAGUGCAGCAGAGUUGAUUGAGGAAGAUAGUAAGCUACGAGACAGCAAGUUGAGGCAAAUUCGAUCUGAGAUAAUCACUGCGAGUCAAAUUAGGCACAGGAAUAUUCUUCCUUUGCUGGCUCAUAUGGUCCGGCCUGACUGCCAUUUACUUGUUUACGAAUUCAUGAAGAAUGGAAGUUUACAAGACAUUCUAGAUGAUGUCUCACGGGGAAGAAGAGAAUUAGAUUGGCCAUCUAGACACAGGAUUGCGCUUGGAGUAGCUUCCGGGCUUGAGUAUCUGCAUAUGUACCACAGCGCUAGUAUAAUCCAUGGAGAUAUCAAGCCACGAAACGUGCUUCUAAACGAUGAUAUGGAAGCCUGCAUUUCUGAUCUUGGUCUUGCAAUGGCAAUCCCUGAUGGUUAUACACGUGUCCUGAUUUCGUAUGUAUUAGGGACCAUGGCAUACAUAGCCCCAGAGUAUUUCCAGCAGCCAGAACUUAGUGAAAAGUGUGAUAUAUUCAGCUUUGGGAUGUUGCUAAUUAGUUUGGUGAGGGGAGUACCUUCAUUUGUCUUUCACCAAAAUGGAGAGGAAAUAUGUUCUCCUGAAUGGUUGAGAAAAGUCAUGAACUCUAAGAAUCCUAGCAGGGCUAUCGAUCCGAGGCUCCCUGGCAAUGGGUAUGAGAAGAAAAUGCUCCAUGUUUUGAAGAUUGCUUACAUUUGCACUUUGCAUGAUCCGGAGGAGAGACCUAACAGUCAGUAUGUUAGGUGCAGGUUGUCUCAGCUACUGUGAUACGGUACUAAUUAAGGAUGUGGAUAUUUUGAAAAUGUACAAAAGAAAUAACGACGUCACUUUGUGAUGAACUAUGUAUGCUCUCCAAUUAAGUUGCACAGUUAUGAUCCCCUAUGAGUUUUUACUUCAAAUAAUGUAGACGGAGUGGUUCAGGUCAUUGUACGAAGUAUAAACCAUUUCUGAAAUUUGGCAUAUUUUCUAUGUUUCAGCAGUCAUAUGUUUCUAGCAACACACCAAGCUUUUCAUUUUGCAUAAGAAAAAUAGCAAGAACAACUCACUACUGGUAGGCGGUCCCUUCCAUAAGCAUAUUCUAACACGCAUUGUGAGAAAAAGGAAAAGUUCCAGGCAAGUGCGUUUUAUUAAAAAAAAAAAAAAGUUCCUUUAAAAACAAACUAACAGUGUUUUACAUUUCGAUUCUGACUGUAACGACCCGCCCCGAAUCUCCAGACGAGUCUAUCUAAUCUCAUUAAAACGGACUUGAUAAUAAUUAUAUUCGUAAAGAUUCUACCGAAAAUUCAACAAAAUCUCCUUUAUAUAUAUAACACUCCCAAUCUACAAAUAUAAAUAUAACAUUCCCAAUACAAUUCAAUAUACAACAAACUCCAGUACUCAACAUCCUCAACCAAAAUGCUGAGUUUUAUAUCUUUAGAAUCUCAAAAGAUAAUAUUAUAAUUAAUAUUAAUAUCUCAAUUUAUUCUUAAUCCCAAAAGAAUAAUAUAACAAAAGUAUACAAUCCCAAAAGAACAAGAUGACCAAUAUGUCCUAACAAAAACAUCUAUAUCUUCUAACACCAUCACGUGGCCAAGACUCAAAAUAUAUUUCCAGUCGCUGGGUCGGUUUGGUGUACCUGCAACCUCCUGGUGAGGGGGAAAAUAAAAUAAAAACGGGAUGAGUUUAAAACUCAAUGAGAUCAGUGAGUGGAAAGUAGUUUUGAAAAUUAAUGUUUACUUUAAAAGAAAUAAUCAUAUUAUUUCCAAACACGAUUUCAUUAAACAAGUACCCAGUGAAAUAAUCUCGUCAUAUCCGGACCUCAACGGACAGGCAAUGACGUACUAUCUGGGUAUCGCCACGCCCCGGUGCUACACGGAUAGACAGGGAAAUACCAUCUCAUAUCUCAUCAUAUCUGUGCAUGCAUAAUCUAGUCCCCAAAGGACAAAAGCGCCUAAGCACACGACUCAAAGCCUCUGUGUGUACUUAGACGAGCCCCAAAGGCCUGUAUCUCAUCUGUAUCAUCUGUAUCAUUUGUAUCUCAACAGCUGUCUGUAUCUCAUAUCAGUAUAUCUGUACUCAUCAUACCGCAUGCAUAUGCCCCCAAAAGGCAAAAGCGCCCAAACACACGGCCAAAGCCUCUAUGUGUGUUCAGACGGGCCCCAAAGGUUUUUCAUCUGUAUCACUGUAUCUGGAGGAAAUGGUACUAUCUAAUGAUUUUAAAAACAAUCAUUCUACUCAUAUUCACAUACCGUUUAACCAGAUUUUAAAUCAUACCAUAUUUGAAUCCACUUUUCUUAUCUUUAAAAUACUAUCAUGCUUUAUUCAAAAUCGAUACGCAAAAUCAUUAACCAAACAUUUCGAGAAAUCAUUAAAUUAGAACAUUUAAAAUACUUAUUUCGCAAACAUGCUUUACUAUCAUAAUUAACUAUAAAAAUAGGUUUUGUAUAUUCCACUCACAGUGACGGUGUUCACGAUCGAUUAUCGUCCAUGUCCGCGGACUGGUUCUCACUUGCGGAUCCUCCUAAAUCAAGGAAACGACAUAAUUAUUUUCUGUAAAUUGGAAUUACGACAAAAUUUAUACAAUAAACUCGAAACGAAUAUCUAUCCAUAAUUGACAACUCCUAUGUCUAUAAAAUUACUAAAAUGCCCUUGAGUCCGUAAAUCAUUAACACAUACUUUGAAAUCGUACAUUAUCGAAUUAUCUUCGGAAUCGUAAUUACACCCAUUCCUCAAUUCUAGGGAUUACUAAAAUAUCCACAGGCUCAGAAAUUACAAAAUUGCCCUCAUAGUGUGAAAUUACCAAAAUGCCCUCGCCGGUCAACGGUCACCGGAGUUUGGUCAACACUAGCUAGGAAGCUCAAAUCUGAAAGUUCCAAUCACGCUGAGUUCAAUGGUACCGGUGGUGAGCUCCAACGCGCGGCAACGGCGCCGGAAUCGAGCUUGGCAGCCGUGAAUUCCAACAAUCGACCGGCGGCAAAACAGUGACUCUCGGUGCCUAUGGAUGGUCGGAAAUGGAAGAGGGAGUCGUGGGGAACAAGAUCCAACCGGUGGUGUCACCCAAAACCGGCGAAAAUCCCGGCGGAGUAAAGUGAAACAGUCGCGGGUUCAAGCUUCGAUCACCGGCGUUCUGGUUGUUUUUCGGCGGCGAGGAUGGCAGGGGAACGACGGUCGGCUUCUAAGCUUCAGAUUGGUACCAAGCUCGGCCGAAACGGUGGCCGGAAAUGGGAGAUAUGGUCGGGUCAAGGUCGUGGGUUCCGGGUCGGGGUUUCGGGUCUAUAGUUGGGUCGGUUUAGCAACUUCCCUUCACUCUUUCUCACAUGUACGUGCAUGUUUUUUCCCUGUUUCCAGCUUAUUCUUUUACUUAUAAAAGCCUUAACCGCCUCAUUUUCAUUUUGAAAUUCACAUAUGUUACACUGACUGUCUCCAUUUUUUAUUUACAAACCAGUUCAAAAGAGCUUUCAAAAUUUCAGAAUCAUGAGAAAAAUGUCGUCUGGCUAGUGGAAACACUUGAGGCCUUUCAUCCCGCACAUUUAUAAAAAGUAAAUCAAAGCGCAAGUAUGAAACGCUAGGAUGUAGGAAAGCGUUUUUUAAGUUAUGAGAAAGAAGAUCAGAGACAUCAAAAGUGCGCCUAGAAAUUGAAAAGCGCAAGGGUAUCUCAAAGGGGAGCUAGAGGAUUCAUAUAAACCAAUAACCAUCCAGCCCACUCUCAUGCUCAACACAGCGAAGCCCACUACAGAGGCCCGACAGCGGCCCAACAUAGAGGAAUUGCAAAAUAAUGGCCAGGAAAAAACUAUUAGCAGAUGGGGAGCUAGAGAGGUUAUGUUAAUGCCUUAUGGACUUGGAAAACCAAAUGCACUCUAUUGCUAGACAUACAAACCUAAUUAUCUUAAAAUGGCUAAUAAAUACAUACUCGAAAGCUAGAUUUUUUCCCACACUGUAGCUUAAUGGAGUGCAAGUUGGGUAGCAACAGUUCCUUUAAUUUACUGGAGAAGUAUUGCCAUAUUUUAUCCAAAAAAUGCAACUCUAGUGUGAUUAAUAACAUUUGUCCUUCUCUUCAAAAAAAAAAAAAAACAUAUAGCAGCACCCUGUUCAAAUCAAACAUGUUAUGGGCUUAUAGUUCAGUGAGGAAAAUGGAAAGCCAAAGUCAUUUUCAAAUACAUAGAAAAAGAAAGUUGGUCCCAUACCAAAUGUUUUUUUUUUUUAUACACUGAUAUAUUACAAUCAAGACUCUAAACAUAUUUACAAUCAUAGAUCAAUUGAAACUCUUUUUCAUAAUUCUAGUAGUCCCAUACUAAAUAUUUGAAAGUCCUCAACAACAUUAAAAAUGCAGUAGUGUGCUUUACUCGGAAAAAAGCCACACAAUGAACCAUCAAACUCCACCAUACUCUAUGAUUUUAAUAUCAUGAUCAUUAUAGUACUGCAACAUAAGUGAGACAAAAAUACAUUUAGCCAAUGUCUACUUCACGAAUUCGGGAAUCGAAAUUCAAAAUUAGAAUCAUUGACAAUGUUUCUUCGCAAAAUAGAGGCAGGAAUCGGAAUUGAAAUCGUUGGCCCACCUAAAUUUGGAAAUGGGGAAUGGGAGAUUGAUUCCCAAGCCCCUCGAGAAUUUGACCCAAGUAAGUGAUCUUUUCUCUCUCUACCUUAAAACUCUUUUUGAGAAAAUAGCAUUAGGAGUUCAUUCUUUCUUUGUUCUUUUCAUUUUUAAAGCCUUUCAAUUAAACUAGCUAUAAUCAAGGCUCAAUAACUUAAUCAUACACAUUAAUCCAUUAAACCCAACACAUAUUACUUGAUCAUUGAAGGAUUUAACGCCGAAAAAAUUCCCAACUUUCUCUUAAUCAUUUAUUGUGAACGUAGAUAUUUUUAUGGGAAGUACAUGUGAUCACCUGUGUUUGCUUGAGUGAGUAGGAAGUUUAUGGUCAAGAUCAUAUGUCCCACCAUUAUAAAUUUUAAGUGUUGACGUUGGCGUCUAGUUAUUUAUUGCUCAACACGAUCAUACUUCAACAUCAACAGUAUUGAUUUCAACUAUAGUAUUGUUUUUAUAUUUUUUAUAAUAUAAUUCAAAAUCUUUACUAAUAAUUUAAUAAAUAUUUAAUUUUAGGGAUCCUACUAUCUACUUAAGUUAACUGAUGUAUCAUUUAUCAAUUAGAUAGUAGAAUAAUAUUAUAUAAUAAUUAUGCAUUUACCAUAUAAUAAAUGAGUAGAAAAUAUAAAUAUAUAUAUAUAUAUAUAUAUAUAUAUAUAUAUAUAUAUAUAUAUAUAUAGUUGUUAGCCAAAUCUCUACCUUGUAGGCCAUGAUUUCGUGGUAUCUUAUAAAUCUUAAAGAUUAGGGGUUGCACCCUAGACGACUCUUCCUCUAGGCAACUUAGGCAAUCGCCCAAGGCCCACUAUAGAUGAAGGCCUUUAAUUUUUUUCUAAAUUAUAGUUAUUAAUUAUUGAUUUAUAUUAAUUAUUAUUUUAUAAUUAUAUUUUCCAUAAACAAACUAUUAAAUCCUUACAAAGUCUCAUUUUAAUAUUAUAAUUAACAAUUUUAACACCAUUUAUUUCCUCCAUAUAUUUCAUUUAAAACUCUAUAAAGGCCACAUAUUUUUUAAAUUAUUAUCAUUAAUAUCUUUUUUCAAUAAAAAAAUACAUAAAACCUUCAUUGCUUUGGUGAAAAAAUUACUUUCUCUACCCUACUUUUCACUUAAGAAAAAAACAAUCAAUUGUUUUACUUUCCAUUGAUCACUGCUACUCAAAGUCUCAAUCCAUUAAAGUUAAAGUUUUCAAAUUUGUAGAUUCUAUCUUUCCAUUCUUUUAUUAGUUAUUAUGCUAUUCAGUUGUUAUUGUUUCUUUUUAAAAAUGUUAUUGUGUUUAUAGGUUGUUUUCUUGUAAUUAUCUAGUAUAAUUGUUUGCUUAAUUACUCUUGUUUCGCUAGAAAAAAAAAAGUCUACUAAAAAAUAAAUGAAUUAGGGUACAAAAAACUUCAAAAACAAGAGAAGAAUAGUAAAGUUAGUUUAAUCUCAAAAAAAGCUAUUGAUAAAAACAUAUGUCAGAUCAACUAUGUCAUAAGAAAGAUUAAACAGGUUAACUAUAUUAUUUAUUGAGAAAGAUAUAUUAAAAAAUUAGAAUAUAAAAUUUUGAUUAAUAAUUUUACAUCUCAAGCAAGAGAAAUUGAUUUUAAAUAAAUAAAAUUAUAAUAAAAUUAAUAUAUAAUUUUACCUCAAAUUUUUUGAAAGGCCUAAUUAAAACAAUUUUCUUAAGGCCUAAAAAAUUAUUGAGCCGCCCCUGGUUAGCACCCCUUCAACCAAUCCAUAGGGAGCCUCCCCAUCCCCACCACGAACGAUUUGACCAGUGAAUUUUCAUCAAUUACCACUCUCUAAACAAGCGUAAAGGCAAGGGUGGCGCUGCUAUGUAGAGGAAACGUUAUUCAUAUGAUGUACCCCACGUGUUUAAACCCUUAGAUCUGGAUAUAAAGGCGGGGGCGACGCCACUUAAAUGCAUAAAUCUCAAUCAAAUAGAGAUGCGUUAAGAGUUCCGUAUAGUUAUUUAUUUUUCCCAUCAUAUACCCCACCUACGUUUUAAACCCUUGAUCUAGAAAGUCUUUCCUACAAACAUCACAAAUUUCAUAGAGACCACCUUAGGGUUCUGAAUAGUUAAAUUGGCACCGUAUAAUAUCGUGCCGGUCAAUUAAGCCUUAAAUUUCCAUUUUUUUCCCCUCUCCCGACAACCCUAAUCGCAUCUUACAAAGCCCUGUCAUCCUCUAAUUUUUUGCAAUUUAUUUUAGUUAGAUAAAAGUGAUGCGUAGAAAACAAAAUAAAAAAAUGAAUUGAUAAUGAAUACAAAUAAUUUGUUAGAAAAUUUCUCAAACGUGUUUAAUUUUUAUUUAUUUUUAAAAAUAAUUUUAUUUGAAGUGAAAUUUUUAUUUAUUUCAGUCUUUGGGUUAUUAAAUUUGGAUACUUUCUUUUUUGAAUUAUCAUGUAGUAAGUUACCAUCCCACCCAUUACUACACAUUUUUUUAAAAGAUAUGAUUUCUAGGUUCUAACUUCCAAUGAAAUGACCACAAACGAUGUAUAAUGCUGAACACUCGUUGACUUAUUUAAUUUUUUAAGUGAAUUUCUUUUCUAAAUAAAAAAAAGACUUGACGGGGAGGAGAGGCUGUCAUAUAUUAUUUGUCAUUUCAAGCUAUAGACGGAGCAAAGUAAGUUUUAUAUAUUCUUCUCUUUAAUUUUUGCGUUUCGACUUUGAUCAUUUCAGAAACAUAUCUUGUUGACUUUUGUGUUUUUAGUUAUAUUUUGUGUUACAUUUUCUGUUAUAUUGAGCUUUGAAUUUUUUUUUGAUUUGUAUCCGGUAAAAUCGAUCAAAUAUCUCUAAAUUUAGUUGUUCUGUAAUUAUUCUUAAAUGAAUUGUGAACUUCUUUUGAAAAUUAAUUUUGUAAUUGGAAUGCAUUAUUUAUAUAUUGAUUCAAGUCUAUUAAAACUAUUUACGUAUUGAUUAGAAUUUCUUUUUUUUUUUUCGGGUUAAACUUGACAAAUCGAAUAGUACAAAGAGACGAAAGUCAUUUCGUGUAGUUAACUAUUAUUGAUUGCAUGUAGGUUAGAUAUAUGAUACGUAGUACCCUUUGUUGACCUCAUUAGCUUUAAAUGUCGGCUGAUUUAAUAAGAAAAACGAAUAAAUUAAAAGAAGAAUAAUAUCGUCGAAUGUAAAGGUUAGUUUUGAUAUAUUCAACAUUUACAUAUGUUGAGUCUAUUUGCACAAUCAUGCAAAAUAUAAUUAAAAUGAACUAAAAACACAUCAUUCACUCUCUAAGUAAUCUUGAUUUAAACUCAAAAAUAUCAAGAUAACUCUUAUUUCAUAGAGUUAUCAGUCAACCCAGCCAACCAAUAAGGAAUUUAAACAUUUGCUUGCCAAUUAAGAAGCCAUUGACAAGCAAAUGAGUGAGAUCUCAAUAAAGAAUGACGAGGAAGUACUUUUUAUUAAUAAGAAGAGACAUCUAUUUAGACGACAUGGUGGUAGAGGAUCUAAAGAAGAUGUUCCACCACUAUGUCAUUUGAAUCGAUGUCUCUUCUUAUCGGCUAAGAGUGACUUCUAGUCAUUCUUUAUCGAUGCCCCACUCAUUUGUUUGUAAAUCUCUUUUGAUGCGCAAGCAAAUUUUUAAAUUCCUCAAUGGUUAGUUGGAAACCCUGAACAAGUAUAACAAAGCUUUUAAAUUCAAGUCUCGAACCAUACACAAUAAUUUUUUUCAGUCUAGAUUCAGAAAUUACAGCAGUAGGAUCUAACUCAAAAAUUUCACGGUAUAAAAGGCUUUACCAUGUUGAAUUACUUGUCUAUUGUCAUGUUUUGUUGUGAAAUUAAUAGUAACUCAUUCUCCAUAAGUUGUAGCCACGUGUUAUUCUUCUUUAAAAAAAUAGUUGCAAACGUGUCUUGAGUUUUAGCCUUUCUUUUGUGUUGUAACAUCUCUUCUUCAAUUACAUUAUUGGUAAUCAAUAUGGCCUUCUCAGCUUUAAUGUUCUACUUUUUCAAAGUGGCAUCCUCAGUUGGUGAUAUUACUUCGUUAUCGCAAACGUUCUCCUAGAGGUCCUGGCCUUGUAAGUAGGACUCUAUCAAUGUUGCUGAUGUAUUGUAAUUUUUGUUAUUGAGUUCCUUAACUCUUCCAACUAUUUGAAGGUUAUCGAUCGUGUUUGUAAAACUUUGACAAUGCCAACAAAGCUCGAUCUUCACAAAUGAACUUGCAUAAUUUCGAACUACUCAUAAUUCAACGAAGCCCCAUCGAGGAUCGUCCUUGCUGUACUCUCGUAGUUUCUCCACGACAGUCUUUCACUAUUGUGAAAUUCCCACAACAUUGCUACAGUGGUCUCCGACCAACCACGCUCUGAUACUAAUUGUUGAAAACUAUGGAAGACUAAAUUGCACGAAAAUAAAACUAUUUGGGAAAUUUUAUAAUCUACUAAAUUUAAAUGACUUUAUUAAUAUUUUUCAAGAGAGAUACUACAACACUCAUGGUUUACUUUUCUUUCUCUCUGUUAAUUCUUCACUCUCACUUCAUACUUAAGCAAAUAAUACAAAGGAGUAUUUAUAGUACAUAAAAACAAAUAUAAACCAUUGAAAUAAAAAAUUACAAAAAAUUAAUAAUCAUACAUUUCAUCUGCCACACUUAUCACCAAUAAUAUCACCUACCACUAAAUAUUUUUUUUAAUACUCAUAGAACCUUCUAUGAGCUAGGCUUAUUAAUCUGGGUUUUGGAAGAUGGUGAUGGGCUUAUUUAAACAUCUCACUUAAUAAACUCAGAACUCAACGAUUUCCGAUGUUCUGAUCUUGUCCAAGAAACUUCAUAUUCUGUCGACGGUUUCCAAUCUUCAAAUAAAAAUUGAAAAUCUCAAGGCCUAUUGGCGAACAUAAUUGGCAUAGGUGUAAGGCCAUCUUGAAACAAGAUUAAUUCAACAAUCCUUCGGCAUCUAUCUCUGAUUUUGCAGCAGUUGUUCUCCUUGAACUCAGUACCAUACAAGCAAUUUGUUCUAUUGCAGAAUUAUGGGGUUCGGAAAAUGGUUUGUUGGAUUUUCAUGUUUCAAGUGGGUAAUGUAUGUUUAUUAUAUCCACCGUAUUAGUAAUCAUUUUUUGCUUUAUUCUAUAUACCAACAAUAUAAAUACCUUUGUAAAUACCUUGCGAAUGAAGCUCUCAAACGAAGAAGAAUGAUCAAAUUCAAAGAAUUAAAAUAUUAAAUGAGUGAUUAAUUUCUUUCUUUAUAUCUUCAUGAGAAAGAGAGUGAAAAAAAUGAAAACAAAAAAAAUGGAAAAAAAUACCGAGAAUCAAAGGAUAAUGAUUCAGUACUGAGCUAAGUUUUUGCUGAGCACUAAAUCAAUAAUUACUAGAUAAGAGAAAUUAAAAAAUAAAAAUAAAAUAAAUUUUAACCAUUAAUUCGUUACUUAACAAAAAAUAAGCUCAAAACUUUUAAUUCGAUGGUAUUCGGGAAUAUAACAAUGGUUGAUUUCUAAAUAUACGAGUGGCAGUUUUUUUAACCAUAAUUUUUUUUUGCAUAUAGUUUUUUUAACAAUUUACUUCACUGACGAUAUUGACAAUCAUAAAGCAUAUUGUGGACACAAAAAGUAAUAGUGAUAUAUACAUAAAACAACAUAUCAUCAAUUAAAACAAAAAAAAAUACGUGAUAAAAAAAAUUCAUUCGUGACAAAAAAAAUUAUUAUUUUUUAUGUCUUUUAUGUAUUAAAUUUUUUUGCUGUUUUCAGUAUAAAUAGCAUUAUUCCAUAAAGAAUAACACACAACCAUUAGAAGAACCCCAAAAAAAAAAUUACUACUAGACAAAAAAAUUGUGUCUUCGUAAUAAAUUUUGUGCUAUUGUCGGUACAUCCAGCAUUAUUCAAAACGUAUAUGCAGGUGAUGUUGCAUAAUUAUACACCACUCAUGCAACAUAACGUAUUGAGCAAUCUACCGCUUUUUAAUAUUAAAAUAAACAAGGCCUACGAAGAAGACUUUGAUUUUACCAUAGAAAAAUGUUAACGAAAGCGAGGGCCCACAAAAUUAAUAUUGAUAAAAUAAUAAUAUAGAACUGAUCUGAACAGGGAAAGCAUGCAUAUUAAACAACAAAAGGAGGAGAGCCAAAUCCAACGGUGGCUACAAUAAUAACUCCUGUUUUAGGCACACAGGCCAUUCAUAUGCAAUACCAAGUUGGUCGAGUACUCAGUUCUUGACUGGUCUCAAUUUCUUCACAAGCAAGAUGUGGGUUCUCAUGAAUUUGCUUCCCCAUCUUCUUCAUCCAGGUCACUGUGCCUUGUUACUUGAUCAUUGCCCUUGUGUUUGUUUGAAAAAUAUUAUUCUACGUAUUUGUUUUAGGUUUGUUUGUAUUGCCAUCUAAUUUAGACCGAAAAUUUUGACAAAAAACUGGAAUAAUAUAUAUAUAUAUUCUCAGUUCUGCCAAGAAUAAACUAUGCACCAACAUUAAAAAUAAAAUAAAAAGGAUUUUUUGUAAAAAUCUGUUUCUUAGAGGUUUUUAAACUUCGGUUUAUGUGACCACAAGAAGCUGAUUCUUGGCUGCUUUUUGUUUUUUUUUUAUUGUACUUGAAUAGACUAAAAGCAUGUGAAGAAUUUUUAACAAAAUAAAAUCGACAAUAAUCGAUUUUAUUUUUGAAUUUGCUUCUUUAUGUUCUUCAUCCGGGUUAGUGGAUUACUGUGUAAAAAUCAAUAAUGAAAAUGUUCAAUUUCUUGAAUUAUAUGUUCUAAUUUUGUUCAAUAUUUUAUUUCCCAAUAAACAUAAUAUGGUCACAACGUUUCCGAUAAGCAUGAAUCUAUAAUAAAUAAUUUAAACAUAUAAUAAAAAAAAAUAUUAAUUGAUCAAUAUAUUAAUCUAUUUUUUGGAAGCACAUAAAAUCUAUUCGAUCAACAAUAAAUAAUUUAAACAUAUAGUUACAAUUUAACUUAAUAAUAAUAAUAAUAUGACUAAAUAAUAAUGUAAAAAAUUUAUAAUAAUCAACUAUAGUUUAGUAUUCAAAUAUAAAUAAUAGAAAUAUACUCUAAAUGUAAAUAAUAGAAACACGUUGGACUUAUGUGUUAAAAAUCUUUAAGUUUCUAAUUUUUUUUUUUUCCAGCAAAUAAGAGACCUAAAGUAAUUCACCAAAAAUUAGGGGUACCAUAGACUCGGGGCACCAUAGCUUCGUCCGCAUUCUAGUAUCUAUAAUAAUUAUUUCGAGGGAUAUUUUAAUAAUUAAAAAAAUUAAAUUUAAUGGAUAAUUUAGUGGGUCUAAAUGCCCCACCCUUUUUUCUUUUAGGGGUAUAUUCAUUUUAUGUACCUGCUACCAGCGCAAUGCAAUAUUAAUCCCCCAAAAGCUUGAGGACCUUUGAACAAAAUUUCUGUAGAUCCGCUGAUUCUAAAUAGUAGAAUUUCCAGAGUGCCUUUUAUUCGAUGUGGACAUAAUGUCAAAAUAGAUUUUUGCUUGAACAGUUGAACCCACACCGAAACUUGAGUACUCCAGCUUGGCAGAAAUUGCUUACAGCAAGUCAAUUCAAAUUCAAUAAACUGCAGUUCCACCAGUGAUCGGCUCAACUAAACAUUUGUUUUAUUAAAAAAAAAAACAAAGAUAAAAGACAAAUGACAUAACCGUGUUGGUCCCACGUGUUGAGUUAUUCCUCGCUUUCCCGUGUGGACUUCCGUGCGCUUUUCGCGUAACACACCCACAUCUAAGUCAGUCGAGUCUUCUUCUCUUUGUUAAUGUGGCAUAUUUCCUAUAUUUCAGCAGUCAUCUGUUUCUGGCAACAUAUAAAGCCUUUAAUUUUGCAAAAGAAAAAUAGCUAUAACAGCUCAAUAUUGGCAGUUCCUUCUAUAAGCAUUUUCUACCACAUAUUGAGAAAGUCUAUAAAAUUUAAAAGAGUCCCAGGCAAGUGCAUUUUAAUCAAUCACAAUUACUUGUUUGUUAAUUCCCUGCAUUUAAAUAAGGAAGAAGAAGCCACCAGACCGAUCGAUCGACAGAGACAAAGAUGCCAAAGUUCACUCUCGGAAAUUCCUUUCGCUUUGGGAGCAAAAGGGAAACCGUCUCUAACUUUCAUUCGGAAAAUAUUGAGACGAUACUAAAAAAGUUGACUAAAGAUUGGCUUGGGCAGUUUGCUCGAGAUGCGCAGAUCCAGGCCUAUCUGAUUGGGUGGAAGAAGAUGAUGACGAAGAUUAAUAAGGUGCUAGAUGAUGCCAUCCAGAAGCAGACGAAGGAGGAGUCAGUGAAGAUAUGGCUAGGCAAACUUCAGCACUUGGCUUGCGAUGUUGACUACUUGUUGGAUGAGUUCCAAACGGAAGCUUUCCUGACGAUGUUGCUGCAAGAUGCUAAUGCGAUGUCUAACUUAAAGGAGGUCAAUGCUCGAUUGCAAGAUAUUGCAUGGCAAAUAAACCUCCUAGGUUUGAAAGAAAGUUCCGGUGGGAAGUCUAGAAAUGUCAGGCAAAGAUUUUCCUCGACCCCGGCGGUGAGUGAAGCUACCUUAUAUAUAUUGAUAUUCAAACAGAAAAAUAUUUACAGCAAACUGAUAGAAAUAGUGAUAAAUCGGCAUCAAUUUACUCAGUUAAUUAAAAAUUAGGACAAUAGAUACUGAUUUGUCACUGUGCUUAUCAAUAUCUCGAUCUCUUUAGUAAAUUUUUCACCAACGUAAAUGGUAGGGAAAAAGAUAAAGAAUAGAUAUUGAAUCGCGCAUGCUACGAAAAAAAAAAGAAAAAGACUAAAUACUAAUGCUAAUUCAAAAUGUUUUUUUUUUUGUUUUGAAGCUAAUCUUAGCGGCAGUAAGAGGUGGAAGUCGAGAUCGUGGUCUUACAAUCUUUAGUCCACUAAUCGAGAAAGAGGACUUGGCAUUUUUGAAAAAAGAAGAUUGUUUUGCUUCUUUGGAGAAAAUAGGAUCAGGUGGUGCGGAGACGUUUACAAAGCCGAGCUACCUGGAAGCAAUGGAAAGAUGAUUGCUGUUAAGAAGGUUAUUAUUUAUUCUCCAAUGAGUGCAGCAGAGUUGAUUGAUGCAUAUAGUGAGCUAGGGGAGGGCAAGUUGACGGAAAUUAGGUCUCAGAUUAUCACUGCGAGUCAAAUUAGGCACAGGAAUAUUCUUCCUUUGCUGGCUCAUAUGGUUCGGCCUGACAGCCAUUUACUUGUUUACGAUUUCAUGAAGAAUGGAAGUUUACAAGCCGUUCUGUAUGAUGUCUCUAAAGGAAGAAGAGAAUUAGAAUGGCUAUCUAGACACAAGAUUGCGCUUGCAGUAGCUUCCGGGCUUGAGUAUCUGCAUAUGCACCACAGCGCUCGUGUAAUCCAUAGAGAUAUCAAGCCAGCAAACGUGCUUAUAGACGAUGAUAUGGAAGCCAGGAUUUCUGGUUUUGAUCUUGCAAUACUAAUGCCUGAUGGUCUUACACAAAUCGACACUAUGUAUGUGGUAGGAACGCCGAGAUACAUAGCGCCCGAGUAUCACCAGACGCUAACAAUUUCUGAAAAGUGUGAUAUAUACAGCUUUGGGGUGUUGCUGGCUGUUUUAGUGAUGGGAAAAUUUCCAUUCGAUGACUUCUUCAGUCAUACCGGGGAGAUGGAUAUGGUUAGAUGGAUGAGAAAUGUCAUGGCCUCUGAAAAUCCUAACAGGGCUAUCGAUUCAAAGCUACUCGGCAAUGGGUAUGAGGAGCAAAUGCUUCUUGUUUUGAAGCUCGCCUGCUUUUGCACAUUGGCAGAUCCAGAUGAGAGACCUAACAGUAAGGAUGUUAGGUGCAUGUUGUCAGAUACAGCAUUAAUUAAGGAUGUGGAUUUUUCGAAAACGAACAAGAGAAUGGAUUUUGAUAGUGGUGAGUCUGAUAGUGAUGAUUGCGAUGAACUCAUCGAACAAGAAAUCUAUACAGAGUAGCUCAGCUCAUUGGACAGUUAUGAUCCCCUCUGAGUUUUUGCUUCAAAUAAUCUAUUCAGAGUGGCUCAGCUCAUUGUACAAACUAAUUCUGAAAUGCGGCAUAUUUUCUAUAUUCUAGCAGUCAUAUGUUUCUGGCAACACAUCAAGCCUUUCGUUUUGCAUAAGAAAAAUAGCAAGAACAACUCGUAUUGGUACGUAGUCCCUUCCAUAAGCAUAUUCUAACACGUAUUGUGAGAAAAGGGAAAGUUCCUGGCAAGCGCGUUUUAUUAAAAAAAUAAUAAUAAUGUUCCUUUAAAAAGCAACUAACUGUGUUUUACAUUUCAAUUCUGACUGUGUCUCCUUAUUUUAUUUACAAACCAGUUCAAAAGAGCUGUCAAAAUUUCAUAAUCAUGAAAUAUAUAUAUAUAUAUAUAUAUAUAUAUAUAUAUAUAUAUAUAUAUAUAUAUAUAUAUAUAUAUAUAUAUAUAUAUAUAUUAUAUAUGUAUGUAUGUAUAUAUAUAUAUCGUCUGGCCAGUGGAAACACUUAAGGCCUUUCAACCCACACAUUAUAAAAAGUAAAUCAAAGCAUAAGCACGAAAGGCAAGAAUGUUGGAAACCGUGUUUAAGUUGAGAUAAAGGAGAUCAGGGACAUCAAAAGUGGGCCUUGAAAUUUAAAAGCAGAAGAGUGUCUCACAGGGAGUGGGACGUUAUGUUUUGAAUGUUGCAGCUAGAGGAUUCAUCUAAGCCGUCCGGUUCACUCUCAUGCUCAAUAGAGCAAAGUUCACUACGGAGGCGUGCAGCAGCCCAACAAAGAGGAAAUGUAAAAUGAUCGCCAGGAAAAAACUAUUAGCAGAUGGGGAGCAAGAGAGGUUAUGUUAAUGCCUUAAUGGACUUUGGAAAACCAAAUGCACUCUAUUAUUAGGCAUCCAAACCUAAUUCUCUUAAAAUGGCUAAUAAAUACGAAAUACUCCAAAGCUAGAUUUUUUCCAACACUGUAGCUUAACGGACUGCAAGUUGGUUAGCAACAAUUCCUUUAAUUUACUGGAGAAUUAUUGCCAUAUUUUAUCCAAAAAAUGAAACUCUAGUGUGAUUAAUAAUAUUUGUCCUCCUCUUCAAAAAAAAAAAAGAAAAAGAAAGUAGAGGUCUAGCAGCACCAUGUUCAAAUCAAACAUACUAUGGGCUUAUGGGCUUAUGGCUUAGUGAGGAAAAUGAAAAGUUGACGUCAUUUUUAAAUACAUAGAAAAAGAAAGUUGGUCCAUACCAAUUUCUUUUUUUUUUUAAUAUAUUGAUUUAUUACAAUCAAAACUCUAAAAAUAUUUACAAUAAAAAAAAUCAAUUUGGAUUCUUUUUUAUAAUUCUAGUAGUCCCAUAUCAAAUAUUUGAAAGUCCUCACCAGCAUUAAAAAUGUAAUAGUGUGCUUUACUCAGAAAAAAGCCACACAAUGAACCAUGAAACUCCACUAUACUCUAUCAUUUUAAUACCAUGAUCAUUAUAUAGUACUGCAACGUAAGUCGGACAAAAAUAUUUUAAAGGCAUGAAUUGGAAUCAGAAUCGUUGGCCCACCCAAAUUUGGAAAUGGAGAAUGAGAGAUUGAUUCCUAAGCCCCUCGAGGAUUUGACCCGAGUAAGUGAUCUUUUCUCUUGCUACCUCAAAACUCUCUUUGAGAAAAUAGCAUUAGGAGUUCAUUCUUUCUUUGUUCUUUUCAUUUUUAAAGCCUUUCAAUUAAACUAGUUAUAAUCAAGGCUCAAUAACUUAAUACACGUUAAUCCAUUAAACCCAAACAACUUACUUGAGCAUCGAAAGAUUUAACGCGGAAAAAAAUUCCCAGCUUUCUCCUAAUCGUUUAUUGCGAACGUAGAUAUUUUUAUGGGAAGUACUUGUGAUCGCCUGUGUUUGCUCUAGUGAGUCAGAAGUUUAUGGUCAAGAUCAUUUGUCCCACCAUGAUAAAUUUUAAGUGUUGGAAUCUAGUUAUUGCUUAACAUGAUCAUAUUUCAACAUCAACAAUAUUGAUUUCAAAUAUAGUAUUUUUUUUUAUUUUUUUAUACUAUAAUUCAAAAUCUUUAUAAUAAUUUAAUAAAUAUUUAAUUUUAGGGAUCCUAAUAUCUACUAGAGUUAAUUGAUGUAUCAUUCAUCAAUUAGAUGGUAAAAUAAUAUUAUAUAAUAAUUAUGCAUUUAUCAUAUAUAUAUAUAUAUAUAUAGUGCUCAAACUGCUUUAAUGAUUUCAAAUGCAAUUUAUCUCUAGCACCAUUUCACCCUUGACAACCAAAGCUAACACGCACACAAACCGUGUUGCAAAUCCACUAAAAAAUGACUUACAAAUUUCAAAGCUACACGACAAUAAGCAAAUGGAUUUUCUCAGUCUUCAUUCAAAUUUACAAACAUGUCAUAGCAUUCACGUGAGGGCGGUGCAAAUUUUACAAUUUCAUAACGAGAGAAAAACGAGAGAAAAUGAGAGAAUUUUACUUUCUCUCCCUUCCCAGUCCACUUUCUCUCUCUUUCUUUUCAAUACACUUUCUCUCGUCAUUCUCUCGUUAUUCUCUCUCUUUAGCAUUUUUCUUUCAUAAUACCUAGCACACCAACUCCAAUGAUCCACAGAAAGAAAAACAAAGAUAAAUCCCCCACUCAGACAAAUCCCAAGUAAAAAUAUUCAUAAAUUCAUUGCAAUAAAAUUUACUUGAUAAACGCCCACAUAUCCACAAUAAUUUAAGAUUUAAGAAAUGAAUAUUAAACCUUCCAUGGUUUACCACCUUCUCAGAAUUCCGCUCUCCCUCUCUUUCAUAAAAAUUACUUCUGUUCAUUCAAAUAUUCAAACCCAUUAAACCCAAAUGCAAAACUGACAAAUGAGAGCGUCGAAGGAGCUUCGUCUUUUCCUAUUGGACGCGAUGGCCAAUAAUGGGAAUCUCUGUGGUCGACUUAUAGGUGGCGAUGAGUAAAGUCACAGUCGCCACCCCCACCCCACCCCAAUCCCCACUAUAUAUAAAUAUGUUUUUAAUUCUUAUUUAAUAAUUUUUAUUUUAUCAACUAUAAUGUCAAUUAAUAAUUUUUUUAAUUUUUAUGUAAUAUAAAUAGAAUAUGAAUAAAACAAAACCCUACAAUAUUUUUCAACUUUAAAACAUUAUUAUAUUUUCUUUUUUCUUUUAAGGUGCUGAGUUCUUUAAAUAUUUUUCACUUUUAAUAUGAUUUUAAUAUAUUGUUUCAAAUUUUCAAAGAUUUUUUAAAAAAAAUUAAAUACUUUUAUAAUAUGGUGAUAAUUUUAUUUUAAGUCUCUAAUUUUUAAUUUACUGAAAUCAUAUUUUUAUAUCUAAUAUAAAAUAAGUAAAUGGGGAAUGGGGUGGAGGUGGGGAUGGGGGAAUCAUUCCCCACGUGGGGAUUCCCCAUCCCCAACCCACUAAAUUUAUUGGGGAAUGGGGUGGAGAAUGGAGGCAAAAAAUUUUAAUGGGGUGGUAUGAUAUCACUUUUGCAACAUAGCCGAACCCGUAAGAUUAAUUUGAAUAAAGAAUAUCAAUUUACAAUUUAAAGGAAAUAAAUUAAAAUUGAAUGAGUUCAAAGAAUAAAAUAGAACUCAUUUAUCUAGAUUCUAGGGGUCCAACUACCGUGCACCUAGUGCAUGGUGCUCCUAUUUUGUUCAUAUGUGAGUUGGCCAUUAGAUCUAACAGGGAUCUUGCUUCAAUGGAAUGAAUGUGUUUUCUUUGAUUUUUAACAUUGAUGUCCUUAUAGUUUUUUUAAAAAGCAAAAUAGUCAAUGAUUUGACACAUUAUUUUAAAUUUUUAUAUUUUUAUCAAUUGAUUUAAUUUUAUUAUUAAAAAUUAAUGAUAGUAUAAGGACAAUAAUUUGCAAAACCUUUUAAUACAUAUAAUCUUUUUUAUUUUUUUUGAAAACAACAUAAAAUCUAUUCAAUCAAUAAUAAAUAAUUUAAAUAUAUAAUUAAAAUUUAACUUCUUAAUAAUAAUAUGACUAAAUAACAAUGUAAAAAAUUCAAAAUAAUUAACUAUAGUUUAGUAUUCAAGUAUAAAUAAUAGAAAUAUACUCUAAAUGUAAAUAUUAGAAACAUAUUGGACUUAUGUGUUAAAAUCUUAAAGCUUCUAUUUUUUUGUUUUACUUUUCAACAAAUAAGAGGGAUCUAAAGUAAUUUACUAAAAAUUAAGGGUACCAUGGCCUCGGGCACCAUAGAUUCGUCCACAUUUCUGUAUCUAUAAUAUAAUAAUAAUUUUGAAAAAUAUUUUAAUAAAUAAAAAAAUUAAAUUUGGUAGAUAAUUUAGUGGGUCUAAAUGCCCCACCCUUUUCUCUUAGGGGUAUAUUCAUCUGUGUACCUGCUACUAGCGCAAUGCAAUUCCCCAAAAGCUUGAGGACCUUUGAACAAAAUUUCUGUAGAUCCGCUGAUUCUAAAUACUAGUAGAAUUUCCAGAAUGCCUUUUAUUGGAUGUGAAAGUAAUGUCAAGUAGAUUUUUGCUUGAACAGUUGAACCCACACCGAAGCUUCAGUACUCCAGCUUGGCAGAAAUUGCUUACACCAAGUCAAUUCAAACUCAAUAAAUUGCAGUUCCACCGGCGGCCGGCUCAACUUAACUAAGGCUCGGUUUGGUACAGCUUAUUAAAUAGAGCUUAUAACAGUAGAGCUUAUACCAAUAGAGCUUUUGAACAAAAAGUCAUUGGGUAUUUAGUUGUCAAUAAAAAAAGUAUUUUUGAACCAUUAAAUUAUAUGAUAUUUUUUAUAUUAUAUAUUUUUAGAAAAACUCUAUAACCUCUACUCUCAAAAGCUCAAAUUUUGGGUUUUUACUAGUAGAGGUAAAUUAGCUUAUUUAAGCUAAAAAAACUCUACUAAAAAAAUAACCAAACACUAUAAAAAAUUUUAAAAAGUACUUAUACAAUUAAAUAAGCACUUAUGACUCUUAAAUAAGUCAUACCAAACAGGCACUAAAACAUUUGUUUUAUUAAAAAAAAAAUAAAAAAAAAAUGACAUAACCGUGUUGGUCCCACGUGUUGAGUUCGUGUGGACUUCCGUGCGCCUUUCGCGUAACAUACCCACACAUGUAUGUAAGUCAGUCAAGUCUUCUCCUCUUUGUUAAUGUUGCAUAUUUUCUAUAUUAGCAUUCAUGUGUUUCUGGCAACAUAUCCAUCCUUUCAUUUUGUAUAAGAAAAAUAGGAAUAACAGCUCAAAUAUUGGCAGUUCCUUCUAUAAGCAUUUUCUAACACAUAAUUGAGAGAGUCUAUAAAAUUUUAAAGAGUUCCAGGCAAGUGUAUUUUAGUCAAUCACAAUUACUUGUUUGUUAAUUCCCUGCAUUUAAAUAAGGAAGAAGCAGCCACCACACGGAUCGAUCGACCAAGAAAAAGAUGCCAAAGUUCACUCUCGGAAAUUCCUUUCGUUUUGGCAGCAAAAGGGAAACCGUCUGUAACUUUCAUUCCGAAAAUAUGGAGACGAUACUAAAAAAGUUGACUAAAGAUUGGCUUGAGCAGUUUGCUCGAGAUGCGCAGAUCCAGGCCGAUCUGAUUGGGUGGAAGAAGAUGAUGGUGAAGAUUAAUAAGGUGCUAGAUGAUGCCAUCGAGAAGCAGACGAAGGAGGAGUCAGUGAAGAUAUGGCUAGGCAAACUUCAGCACUUGGCUUGCGAUGUUGACUACUUGUUGGAUGAGUUCCAAACGGAAGCUUUCCAGAUGAUGUUGCUGGAAGAUGCUGAUGCGAUGUCUAAAGUAAAGGAGGUCAAUGCUCGAUUGCAAGAUAUUGCAUGGCAAAUGAACGUACUAGGUUUGAAAGAAAGUUCCGGUGGGAAGUCUAGAAAUGUCAGGCAAAGAUUUCUCACAACCCCUUCAGUGAGUGAAGCUGGCUUAUAAGUAUUGAUAUUCAAACAGAAAAUUUUUACAUAAAACUGACGGAAACAGUGAUAAAUCGGUAUCAAUUUACUCACUUAAUUAAAAAAUAAAGACAUUAGAUACUGAUUUGUCACUGUUUUUAUCAAUAUCUCGAUCUAUUUAGCAAUUUUUCACCAAUGUAAAGGGUAGGGAAAAAGAUAAAGAAGGGAUACCGAAUGGCGCAUGCUACAAAUAUAAAGACUAAAUACUAAUGCUAAUUCAAAAUAUUUUCUUUUCUUUUGAAGCUAAUCUUAGCGGCAGUAAGAGGUGGAAGUCGAGAUCGUGGUCCUGCAAUCUUUAGUCCUUUAAUCAAGGUAGGGGAUGACUUGGCUUUUUUGGAAAAAGAAGAUUGUUUUGCUUCUUUGGAGAAAAUAAGAUCAUGUUCGGAUAGAGAAGUUUACAAAGCCGAGCUACCAGGAAGCAAUGGAAUGAUGAUUACUAUUAAGAAGGUUAUUCAACCUGCAAAGAGUGGAGUAGAGUUGAUUAAACAAGAUAGUGUACCACUGCCCCAAAAAAUGAGCCAAAUUCGAUCUGAGAUUAUGAAUGCAGGUCUUAGGCAUAGGAAUAUUGUUCCUUUGCUGGCUCAUGUGGUCCGGCCUGACUGCCAUUUACUUGUCUACGAAUUCACAAAGAAUGGAAGUUUACAUGACAUUCUAAAUGAUGUCUCACAAGGAAGAAGACAAUUAGAGUGGCUAGCUAGACACAGGAUUGCGCGAGGAAUAGCUUCUGGGCUUGAGUUUCUGCAUAUGUCCCAUAUGCCUCGUAUUAUCCAUAGAGAUAUCAGGCCAGCGAACGUACUUAUAGACGAUGAUAUGGAAGCCAGGAUUUCUGAAUUUGGUCUUGCAAAGCAAAUUCCUGAUGGUCAUACACGAAUCAGCACUUCGAGUCUGGUGGGAACGGUGGGAUACAUGGCCCCAGAGUGUCCCCAGACCCUAACAUUCUCUGACAAGAGUGACAUAUACAGCUUUGGGGUGUUGCUAGCUGUUUUAGUGAUGGGAAAAUUUCCAUCCGAUGAUUUUUUCCAACAUACAGAAGAGAUGAGUUUGGUUCAAUGGAUGAGAAAUGUCAUGACUUCUGAGAAUCCUAACAGGGCUAUCGAUUCAAAGCUACUCGGCAAUGGGUAUGAGGAGCAAAUGCUUCUUGUUUUGAAGCUCGCUUGCUUUUGCACUUUGGAAGAUCCAGAUGAGAGACCUAACAGUAAGGAUGUUAGGUCCAUGUUGUCAGAUACAGAAUUAAUUAAGGAUGUGGAUUUUUUGAAAAUGCAUAAGAGAAUGGAUUUUGACAGUGAUGAUUAUGAUGAACUCAUCCAACAAGAAAUCUAUACAGCUUUGGGGUGUUGCUAGCUGUUUUAGUGAUGGGAAAAUUUCCAUCCGAUGAUUUUUUCCAACAUACAGAAGAGAUGAGUUUCGUUAAAUGGAGGAGAAAUGUCAUGAAUUCUGCGAAUCCUAACCGGGCUAUCGAUUCGAAGCUCCUCGGCAAUGGGUAUGAGGAGCAAAUGCUUCUUGUUUUGAAGAUUGCUAACUUUUGCACUAUGGAUGAUCCAAAGCAGAGACCUAACAGCAGGGAUGUUAGGUGCAUGUUGUCUCAGAUUCAGCACUAAUUAAGGAUGUGGAUUUUUUGAAAAUGUACAAGAGCAUAACAACGUCACUUGUGAUGAACAAUUUAUGCUCUUUAAUUAAGUUGUACAAUUACGAUCCCCUCUGAGUUUUCACUUGUCUAAUCGAUACAGAGCGGUUCGGGUCAUUAUACAAAAGAGAAACCAUUUCUGAAAUGUGGCAUACUUGCUAUAUUUCAGCAGUCGUAUGUUUCUGGCAACAUAUCAAGCCUUUUAUUUUGCAUAAGAAAAAUAGCAAGAACAGCUCGAUGUUGGUAGUUCGUUCUAUAAGCAUAUGCUAACACACAUUGAGAGAAUCUUUCCAAAAAAAAAAAAAAGAGAAAGAGAAAAGUUCCAAGCAAGUGCAUUUUAGCCAUUGUAAUUUUGAAGAGUCGCUUCUAUUUUGUAUUUUAAUUUUUUCUUUUUUAUUAUACUAAAUACAUUUUCCACCAAAGAGAGACCACUUUAUAAUACUUUUUUCUUUACUUUAAUACUUUAAAUAAUCUUUGGUUUACUUUUUUUUUUUUAACUUUAUUUCAUUUACUUUUAUUUUUAACUCAUUACGUUUAAUGGCGGAUUCAUUCUGAUGAAAAGAAAUCGCACAAUCGGGUCACUCAAAAAAAUCAAAUUUUUAUUUCUGUUCAAUUUGAUUCUAAAAGUUAGUUAGAGCUACUCAUAUCUUUUCCUUUAUGUAGGUUAAGAAAAAACUCAAAAAAGGCUCCUUCAGCAGCAGCUAAUCAUGUUCGCUUUUGAUCUUUUAAAUUUAUUUACCAGCUAGCUAGUCCAAGAUGUCUUUAAAUUUCAGAAUCAUAGGAAAAUAUAUAUAUAUAUAUAUAGAUUAUCAGUGGGAACACUUAAGCCGCCUCAACCCGCACACUAUAAAGGUAAAUCAAAGGACAAUUAUGAAAGGCUCAAAUUCUCAGCGAAGAGGAAAUGGGGCUAGAAACUGAAAAGCAGUAAAGUAUCUCAAAGGCAGUGUGGUACUUAUAAAUGAUUUUAGGAGUUUUAUAUUCUUAUCUAAUAAUUACUAAUUUUAUCUUUCUAAAAGAUUACCAAAAAAAUCACCUCAGCAUUCAAUCCAAAUCUCAUUAUAUGAUGUUAUAAUUUAUUUAUAUUACAGUAUUAAUAGUGACAUAAAAUUUAAUUAACUGUUCACAUAAUUAGUAUUUGUUAUGAUAAUGUUGUGAUUUUAAUUAUUUAGAAUCUGUUUUACCUGUUAUUGUACCGAUUAAACACAUUUUUUAAGAUUAUAUAAUAAAAAAAGGUAUAACUUUUUUUUAAUAUUUAUUUUAACAUUAACACAACUCAAUUUUAUUAUCAUCUUAUUCUUUUUUCUUCACCCAAAAAAAAUUGUUAAAUUAAUAAAUAUUACGACUAAAUAUUUAGAAAAAAGUAAAAAUAUUCCCGCAUACACUAAUUGUUUGGAAGUCCUCAAUAGCAGUAAAAAUUUAGUGGUGCGCUUUACUCUUGAGAAAGCGGCACAAAUGAACCAUAAAACUCCACCAUAUUUAAUGAUUUUAAAAUCAGGAUCAUUAUAGUACUACAAAUAUGCGUUUUGCUUGAUUAAUUAGAAAUAGAGAACAACAUAAUAGAACAGCAUGAACCCACCACCUGACACCAGUUUUAUAUUUUUUUUUUAAUGUAUUGCCUUACGUACGAUAACUCGAUUUCUUGUAGACUCAUAUGUAAACAGAUUUGAACCUCAAACAUAUAAUCUUACUUCAACAAGUUUUACCGUAAAAUUAGCUAGCACCAUUUGUAAUGUUGUUGAUAGGCUUUGAUAUUUAAAAAAGAUAAAAAAAAAAUUGAGUAAAAACUAGCUAGAUUAAUCAACUAGUUUGCCCUUUUUUUUUAUCUUAUUGAUACAAUAAUAUUAGAAAUUCUAACAUUUGAGUGUCAGUUUGAAUCCUAUUAUUAUGUGUCAUUUAUUUAUCAAAUGAUUAUUUCAUAACUUAUAAAAUUACUUAACCACCAUCUAAUACAUAAAUACUACAUCACUUAAAAUUCAAAUUGAGACUUGUAUGGUAUGGUAGAAUGUCUAGCACAAAGUAGAUACAGUAAUUAAUGGAGAACAAAUUGUAACUCUCUUUCUUUUAUGGCUAUUUGAAUUUUUUACUUAUUUUACAUUUUUAUGGCUUUCAAUCUCUUUAUUUACCUUUGUGCGUCUGAUUUUCCUCUACUUCCCUUAUCUGAACCUUGACUUAAGUAAUAACGAGAAUAAAUAAAUACGUACGAAAUGGAUCCGUGAUCCCUUGCACAAAUUUUUACUUUUAGAUGCGGAUAUAUAUAUAUAUAAAGAGUCAAUUUGUGUAAAACUUAGCUGAUUGUGCAAAUUAUUAGUUGUUGGGAUUUUAAACAAACGACAAGCAAUUUACGAUUUAUCUGCAAUAAUUAGGCUUGGAAAAAUUAGUAGUUAGUUAAUGUUAUUAUGAUAAUGUUUUGAUUUUAACCAACAAUUCACAUAAUUAGUAGUCAGUUAUGAUAAUGUUUUGAUUUUAAUUAUUUAAAAUUUAUUUUACCUGCUUUCUAUCGGUUAAACAAAAUUUUUAAAAUUAUAUAAUUAAAAAAAUAAGUAUAGUCUCUACAAACUUCAAUAUUUUUUCUUUUUAAAAAAAAGAUAUGUAUUUUAACAUUAACGCAACUCAAUUUUGUUUAUCAUAUUAUUCUCUCUUCUUCACUAAAAAAUGGCUAAAUUAAUAAAUAUUGUAACAACUAAUAGUGUCUUAUGUAGAGAUGGCAAUUUCCGGGUCUGGGUCCGGGUUUGGCUAUUCCGGAUCCGGACCCGGAUACAAAAUAUUCAUAACCGGAACCGCAUUAAACCCGGAUUUUUUAAUCCGGGUCCGGUCCGGGUUCAACCCGGAAAAAUUCGGAUUUCCGGAUUCCGGGUUUUGAACCCGGAUUGGUUUAUUUAUUAUUUUUUUGAGAGACCCGAUUGCUUAAUUUAACAGGGGAUGUUUUAAUGUUUUAAUGUAUUACAUGAAAAAACACAUUACGAUAAAACACAUUACAGUAUUCUUCCUAGAAUUGGUUCAACAAAAUUUGCUGGAUAAAGGGCAAAAAAAAGAACAUAUAUCACAUCCAGAACCAGACUACCAGAACCAAGUUACUUCACUUUGGUUCAACAAAAUUUGCUGGACAUUAUUAAUCAAGAAUUCAUAAGAUUUCAAGAGACAUUAUUAAUCAAGUAAAUUACAGGACAUUAACCUUGAAUUCUUAACAAGAACAUUAUUAAUCAUGAAUUAGAGGGUACUGGAUUUUAUCUGGCCCUCCGAUUAAUUGGAAAAAGCAUGCAAGAAGCUGGCACAGAACAAAAACAUAAUUAAUUAAUACAAAUCAAGUCCAUUACCACCUUUUUAUUAACACAACCCCACAACCACAAACUAAAACAUAAUUAAUUAAUACAAAUCAAGUCAAAAAAGGUACCUAAAUGCAUCAAUAACAAAAAAAGUUGCAAACUUUUGAUGAAUUAAAUAAAUAACAAAGAACCAACUUAUUGCUUACGAAGAAAUGGAUCCAAGAAACCACAAACGAACUCAGCCGCGACUGAGAUGAAUUUCAACCCUUUUGCUGGCCGCGACAGAGUGAGAUUACAGGAGAGUUGAAGAGAGAGUGAGAGAGAUUAAGUGAGGACUGAGGAACGAGUCACGGCUCACGGGUGAGAGCGAUUGAGAGAGGAACAUAUUACAGAUGAGACUUGAGAGAUUGAGAGGAGAAAUUACAUAUUUACAGUAGAGUUCAGGAGAAAUUUCGAGAGAGGAACGAGAGAGAUUGAGAGAUCUAGAUCUAGGGUUCACUUUUGCUUUUUUUUCUAUUUAUAUUUAGGGAUUUAUGGAUAAAAAAUUAAUAUUAAAAUAAAUAAUAUACAGGUCCGGGUUCCGGAUUUGCGGGUUCACCUGAAACCGGAUCCGGACCCGAAAAUAUGCGGGUUGUCAAAAACUCAUCCGGAUUCCGGAUAAAAAUUACUCUAGUGCGGGUUGAACUCGAACCGGAUUUUCCGGGUUCAGUCCGGGUCCAAUCCGGGUCCGGGUUUGGUUGCCAUCCCUAGCCUUAUGGCAGCCUCAAUAACUAGGCUCGGGGGGUAACCGAAGUCAUUUUCAAAUAUUUAGUUAAAAAAAAUCCCAUAUAUACCAAUUGCUUGAAAGUCCUCAAUACCAUUAAAAAUUUAGUGGUGCGCUUUACUCUUGAGAAAGCGACACAAUGAACCACAAAAUUCCACCAUAUUUUAUUAUUUUAAUAUCAGGAUAUAAGUCAUGCAAAUGUGUUGAGCUUCAUGAAUUAGGAGCAGAGAACGACUUAAUAGAGCAACAUGAACCCACCGCCAGUUAAAAUAUAAUUAAUGGUGUGGGACUGUAAUUAUAUGGAGUACAUCCUUUGAUCUUCAUUGACCAACUAUUUCACCUACACAGUCCCUUUUCAGUGCACCGUGCCCAUUUGAUUUUAUUGAGAACCUUGCCUCUGUCCGUGUGUGCGCGAGGGCAUGCAUGCGCGUGUGUGAGCGUGUGUGCAUGUGUGGGGCUCAACGAUGAGAGUUAAAAAAAAAAAAAUUAUUUGGAAGCAGGUUGUGAAAGAGCUUGAUGACCUUGGUAUUGUUAUUGUUGAGAGUGAAGGGUUCGAUGGUUAGAAUUUCGCAAAACAAUAACCCAUCAAGGGUUGCCAAGGGUGUUACUAACAUAGACGCAUCAAUGCUUAAGUCAAAGACUGAGAGCAGCACGAAUAAAUAAUAAAAGAAAGAAAAGAGAGUAAGAGAAAACCCUUGAAGGAAAAAGAAAACCCUUGAAGGAUAUGCACCCCUCCUCCAAUAUGCCUAUUUCUCAUGCAUUUCUUCGUGUUGUAUUAUAUAUCUUUAAGUAGUGACCUUUCUUAUAUAAAAGAAAUAAUCAGAAGUAUAAUUGAGUUAGGAAAACUUAUCUAUUAUCUUGUAAAAUUCGAGUUUGACAAGAAUUAGAACUUGUAUUACUUUAUCCUAUUUAUAUUAGGACAUAUUAUUGGAUGUGGGUCCUCGGACUUGAGUUUGGUAGAAAUAUGGGCAUAAAAGGAGCCCUCAGUUUAUAAUAUUCACGAGUUUACGAGUGAAUGCUAGAAAUUGAUAUAGUUUAUAGUAUGUAAAAAAAUUUUAUUAUCACUCAUUGAAUGUUGUGAGGACAUCUUGAGUGUCAUGAGCAAAUCUUCAAUGACGUGAGAAGAAAACAAAUGACAUGAGAAAUCUCGAAUGUCAUGAGGACAACUUGAAUAGUAUGAAGACAAUAUAAACGACACGUGAAAAUCUCAAAUAUCAUGAGGAUAACUUGAAUGACAUGAGGAGAUCUAAAAUGUCAUGAUAUAGGCCAUGAAAUUAAGAUAAUGUCUCGUCAAGGGCCAUUAAAGUAAGAUAAUGUCACGAUAGGGGCCAUAAAAUUAAAAUAAAGCCGCGCCAAGGGCCAUUAAAGUAAGAUAAUGUUUCGAUAUGGGUAAUAAAAUUAAGAUAAUGUUGCAACAAGGGCUAUUAAAGUGAGAUGAUGUCGCAAUAUGGACAAUAAAAUAAGACCGCGACAACGGCCAUGAUAACUAGACUCAGGCCGCAGUAAGGACCAAAAUAAUUGAACUUGGGCCAUGACAAGAACAAACCAUAAGUGAACUCAUGCUACAAUAAGGGCCGAAAAAAUAGUUGAACUCAGGUUGCAUAGUGCUUCCAAGUGUAUGAGGCUGAGUUUAGUACUACGAGAUUGAGGCCCAAGACCAAGAUCUGAGGCCUAUGAGCAAGAGGCCGGGCUACUGGUGAUGAGAUUGAGGCCUAGAGUAUGAGAUCGAGAUACAUAUUAUAAGAAAUUUCUUUUUAUAAUUUUGGUGUGGGAAUAGAGAAUUUAGGACAAAGUCGAUGAAGUUGAAGAAUAUGAUGAAUUAGAGGAGACUGAUUUUGAAGAAAAUAUUGAGGAACUAGAGGAGAUUGAAUUCAAUAACAGUGAAAAUAUGCAGAUAAAGAAUUGAGGAGCCAAAGUUUGGGAUGUUUUUUUCCGUAAUCGUGGGUUUCUAGUUAUAACUUUGUGAAUUGUGGUGGAUGUGGCUACAAUGUUGCUUUAGGAGUUGUCGGGGUUGUGGCUGUAGCAUGGUUAUUUUUCAGGAGUCUUUUAAGUCCCGCCCACACCCCCUCCUUUGUUUCGUUUUUUCCGUUUAAGAGACCUUUUAGUUCAUUUGUUAUUUUUCAUUUGGAUAUUCUCAAGAUCCCACACAUUCGACACUGAUUUCGCUUUAUUCACUUGUUUUUGAAAUUUUUGGUAGAUUGCUUGUACUCUUACUUCUAUUAGGAGAGUUUGGUUUUUGUCCCCCUCCUUAUAUUUUCUUCAUUAUAUGAUUUAUAUAAUAAGUAAGAGUUCGAUCAAACCGGCACAGGUGGUUUUUUUUUUAAAAAGUUAAGUCAGGAUUUGACUCAAUGUAAAUAUGAUUUUCUAAUUAGUUAAAGCAAGUUAGUUUAAGUCAAGGAUCCACAAGUGAAUUGCUUCACUAGUUGAUACAAUAAUAAUAAGCUCAUAAGAGUAAUUUUCAAUCAUUUUGACUAGUUUAAACCGCUCUCAGACAAAAGCUUUAUUGAUCUAGGGUAGGCAAAAAUGCCCGGGCCAACCCAAGCGUAGCCCGACCGCCUUAAGCUGCGGGCUUUUAGCCUAGUCAUCCACAUGAGGGCUUAAGAAAAAAAAAAGCUCAAGCCAAGUCCAACCCUCUAUUUUAAAAAUAAAUAAAUUUAUAAAUUAGAAUAAUAAAUUAAAAUUUAAAAGGGAAAAAAGAAAACUCAAAUUCCUAAUUCAUAAAUCAAUAAUGACUCAAAAAAUCUAAAAUUAUAAUAUUAAACUCUCUCUUAAGCAUUGAUUAAUUAAGAGGUUGCUUGAACAAAAGAUUCCAGUAUUAAAAAAAUAAAUCUCUAAACUUUUAUUUGUUUUAUUUUCUUAAUUUACUAUUUUAUUUUAAAAUAUUUAUUUUAUGUAAUUCAUUAUUGGUUAUAAAAACUUGUUGAUUAUCAAUUCAUUUUAAGUUUAUAAUAAUUUUAAAAAAUAGUAAAGGUCCAAGCUUAGCCCAAAUCUGAUCUAACCCUUCCGCUUUCUCUUUUCAAGCCCAAGCCCAAACUCGCAUUUUGCUAACGCCGCCAGAGUUCAACCUCCAAUAAUAAUAACGAGUAAUGUUUGGUUAAAAUCAAUGAGAUUUAAAUGCUGAUUAUUUUUGCUUCAAUGAAUUUAAAUAUUAAUUUUUUUCUUUCGAUGAGUUCACAGUUGGCUAAUUAUUUGUUUUAUAAAAAUAAAACAGUGAAGAAAUAGAAAAAUAACCUUUUAGGAAAAAAACGAAAAAGACAAAACUGUGUUGAUCCCAGAUGAUGACUUUAUUCUUCUCUUUCACCAAUGGAUUUUCAUGCACAUGGCCUCACUUAUCUGAAAGAAUCUCGUGUAGGCAAUUCUUAUUAAGGUGAGAUGGUUGGGACAUAUCACCUAUCCUUUGUAAUUUAUACAAAAAAUCCGAAUAUAUCGACUAUUAAACUUGAAAAUAUUAAUGAGAAAGCAGCAUGUGACGAUUAAAUAAAGGAAAAAAUGAUAAACACACCCCCAACGUUUAGGCAAAUGGAUAAAAACUCUCCUAACGUUUCAAAAAAGAUAUUUAUACUCCAAUUUAUUAUAAUUUUACCAUUAUACCUUUCUAGCAUAUAAAAAAAUUAUUAGAUUAUCCAAUUUGUCUAUAUAAUGUUAAUAAAAUUAUAAAUAUACCAUCAUUGUCUCAUUCUUCUAUUUAAAAUUUUAUCAAUAACCAAUUUUAAAAAAAAACAUCUACACACUUAAAAAAAAUUGUGAAUAAAUUAUAAUUUUAAGAAUAAAAUUGGUUAUUAAUACCAUAAUAAAUAACAUAGAAAAUUGGUUAUAAAUAUACCAGUUUAAAUGAUUGACACGUGGAGAAUUGUUAAAUAUACAAGUUUAAAGUUUAAUAAAUAACAUAGAAAAUUAGUUACAAGUUUAAAUGAUUGACAUGUGGAGAAUUGUUAAAUAUACAAGUUUAAAGUUUAAAUAAAAUUAUAAUUUAUUUACAAUUUUUUUAGGUGUAUAGAUUUUUUUUUUUAAAUUGGUUAUUGAUAAAAAUUUGAAUAGAGGAAUUGGACAGUGAGGGUUAGGGGUGGGAAAAAUCGAGUUCGGGUCGGGUUCAGAUCAACCCGAUCGGGUUUCGGGUUUGACAAGAAUCAAUCCGAACAUAGCCCGAAUUAUUGACCCGACCCGAACAUAGUUCGGGUUGGUUCAAUAAUUCGGGUUCUGUUCGGGUUGGAUUUAAAACGGGUAGGACUUGGGAAACUUGAAAAAAGUUGAAGCUUGAAACUUGAAAGUGGAAGGUGGAAACCGGAAAGCUUCAAAAUCAGGUUCGGGUAGAGAGGAUUCGGCCUUCAAGCAGCAGAUCGGUGGCCACGACUCACGGCUGGAUGGACGGGAUUUCACUUGGCAGCAGAUUGCGGCUUCACUUGGGAGUUGGCAGCAGCAGAUCGCGGAGAUGCGGACGGCUCACGGCUCACGGCUGGUCGCGACUUCACUUGGCAGCAACAGAUCGUGAUUUCAGCAGUUGGCAGCAACAGAGCGCGUCUUGUGGUGGCUGGUUGCAGACUUGCGGGUUGCGGCUACCUUGUUCAGUUGUUUGUGUUUGUUUAGUUGUUUGAACUUGUGAGUUGUGAUUUGUGAAGUUGUGGCUGACAGUGUGUGUGUGUGUGUUAGGUUUGCAAGUGAAUUGUUGAGUGACUGUGUGCAGCAUGUGUAUGUGUUGUGUAGCGUUUCUGUGUGCUGUGCAGCUCGUGUGUGUUCACUGAACGUGCUGUGCAGCUUGUGACUUCUGUUCUGUUCUGUGUGUGUGCUAUGCAAGUGUGCAGCUUGUGACUUAUGUUGUGUGUGUGCAGCAGUGUAUGUGUGUGUGGCUGUGUACUGUGCAGCUUGUGACUUGUGUGUGUGUGUUGUGCUGCAGCGUAUGGGUGUGUGGCUGUGUGCUGUGUGCAGUGUUAGCUUAGGGGUUUUUUUUUUUUAGGAACCCUCACAACCCGAUUAGGUUUGUAAAUUUCAAUCCGAUCGGGUUUCAAUCCCGACCUGAACUUGAAAUUUAUCGAGUCGGGUCCGAUCGGGUAAAAUGCCCACCCCUAGUGAGGGUAUAUUUAUAAUUUUUUUUAUAAUAUCCAACUUGUCUAUUUAUAAUUUUAUUAACAGUAUAUAGACAAAUUGGAUAAUCUAAUAAUUUUUUAUAUGCUAAAAGGGUAUAAUGAUAAAAUUAUAAUAAAUUGGGGUGUAAAUAUUUUUUUUUGAAACGUUAGGGGAGUUUUUGUCCCUUUGCCUAAACUUGGGGGUGUGUUUGUCCUUUUCCCAUAAAUAAACCACGUACUUACAGUACUGAUACAGAUAAAAACAGUUAUAAUCUGAGGGUGUAAAAUCAAAUGAUUAAGUUAGUACUAAUCACCACAAAUUUACGAAAAUCCUAACUCUUAAUUCUAGCCGUUUGAUGCUCUGCUUUUGAUCCGACGUCCAAUGGUUGUUGUUCGGCAAAAAAGAUAAAAAGGGAAAGCACGUGGGAUGUGAAGAGAACUGGAGGCUCAAUCACAAUUACCUGUUUGUUGGCCUUCGCUUAAAUAACGAAGAAGAAAUCACCAGGCCAAUCGUCCAUAUUGUCUUACAGGCACACGCAGUAGCAGCCAUAAAUUCUGCUUAAGUGGUUGACAUUGUAACUAUGGGUUGCUUUUUUGACAGCCAUGAUAUUGCACCUGAGCUUAAAAGAAACACAUAACCAGAUGUGCUUUUACGAUCAUCUAUGUCACCUGCAUAGUCACUAUCCGUGAAAGCAAGCAGCUCUUCUUCUUCCCCUCUCUUCUUAUACAAAAUCCCAUAGUUUGAUGUGCCUUUUAAGUAUCACAAAAUCUUUUUGGCAGCUUGUAAGUGAAGCUCAGUAGGUUUAGCCAAGUACCUACUGAUCAAACUGAUACUGAACAUUAUAUCUGGAUGAGUCCCUAUGAGGUACAUCACACUGCCCAUCAUUUGUUUGAAAUAAGUCUCAUCCACUGUGACACCAUGAUCAUCUCUACUCAUUUUAAAACCAUGCAGAAUUGGGCUGUUUACUGACUUGCUUUCAAACAUCCCAAAACGUUUCAACACUUCAAUGGCAUACCUCUUUUAACAAAUAAAAAUGCCAUCCGACCUUUGUAACACCUCAAUGCCAAGGAAGAAUCUCAUCCUCCCCAAAUCAGUCAUAUCAAAAACUUUCAUCAUAGAAUUCUUAAAAUCAAACAUCAUAUUCUCAUCAUCACCAGUGUAAAUAAGAUCAUCCACAUAAAUACUUACUAUCAACACUUUACCUUCACUGCUCCUCUUGGUGAAUAAAGUCUACUUAUUCGGGCAUUUCUAGAAGCGAUCACUAACAAAAUGAGCUUCAAUACAGCUAAAUCAAACUUGUGGAGCUUGUUUUAGACCGUACAAAGCUUUAUGUAGCUUAUACACCUUAUGCUCACUCUUUUUUUUUAAUAACCUUUUGGUUGCUUUGCAUACACGUCUUCACUGAGUUCACCAUGGAGAAAUGUUGAUUUUACAUCCAAUUGGUAAAUCUUCCAACCUUUGUGCGCCACAAGUGCCACUAUCAUCAUCACUGUAUCCAUACGAGCUACUGGAGCAAACACUUCAGUAAAGUAUACCCCUUGUUAUUAAGAAUACUUAUUUGAAAUAUUAACUAGGCAACCCAAGAGGGGGGUGAAUUGAGUUUUUAAAAUUUAACUUAAGCAAACUGCACAACAAUUUAAUCUAUUACCUUAAUCAAAUCAAAAACAAUAAAGUCAAUAAAGCUCAAUAAUAAAAUAGUAAGGGAAGAGAAAACAAACACAAGAAUUUUUAUGUGGUUCGGUAAUCCCCGCCUACGUCCACGCCUCCAAAUACACCGGUUUGAGGAUUUCACUAUCCAAGCCUCCCAAAGCUUCAAAUGCUUACAAUUGACUUCCAAGGUAUCAAUGAACCUUUACAACAAGAGAUUAUUUCCUCAAUCUCUUCACUCCAAGUGUUUCUCACACUUGUACACUCACAAUUUGAUGAGAAAUAAAAAUUACAACAACUCUCUUUUAGAGUGACUAUACAAAUUAUAUCACAAUAAUAAUUCAAGAUAUGAUGAUUAAUGAAAAUAGAAGCUCAAUAUAUGUUGUGUGCUUUUUGUUUUUGCUUGCUAAAUUUCUUGAAAAUGAAUUGGAUUUAAGUUUAUAUAGUUUGAGCAAAAACUAGUUGUUAUGUGUUUUUUUAUGAUAACCGGCUUGCCGCUUUUGGAAUCUGGUUAGCUGCUUUUAUAUUAUCGUUACAUCAAAUAUUUGAAUUUUAGAAUAUCUGGUAUGCCGCUUUCGAAAUCCAGAUAGCCGCUUUCAUUCUAGUAAGCUACUGCCCAAAAUUCGGUCUACCGCUUGUCAAAUGCGGUUAUCCGCUUGCUACAGUGACUGCUACAGUGAAGUAUUUUAAAAAAUUAUAGUUUUGACCUAAAACUUUAUAGAAUUAUAAUAUGACCCAAAACGUCAUAAAAAUUUGCACAAAGGUCCAAUUUUAGAAUUUCUAAAUAAUGCUUGUUAUUCCCAAUUCUUUUUGAAAUUAUGAUAUCACCCAAAAAAUAUGAAACUUUUCAAAUAAGUCAUUCUCCGGAAUUCCAAGUAAUACUUGUUGAUUUCAAAGUUUUCAAAACUCUUUCAAUUAGACUAUAAAUUUGAAAAAUAACAAAUUUUAUAAAAUCAUUUUUCCAUUAAAAAUAAAACCAUUUAUAAUAUGAAAAUAAUGAUUUAUUUAAAAUGUAUAAAAAAUAAUUUAAGCUUUUAAAAACUUAAUCAUUCUUAAUCAACGUUAUGGAAACAUAUAUGUUAACACUAUUUGCUACCAACGAAGCCUUGUAGUUGUAUACCUCUCCAAGUUCGUUCAACUUCGCUUUUUAAAUCUAUUUUACUCCAAUGGUUUUGCCACCAAUUGGCAAGUCAAUGAGUUCCCAUGUCUGAUUCUUUUCAAUGGGGUGAAUCUUCGAAUCCAUUACCGAUCUCUAUUUUGAGCUCUUCACUACCUCUUUAUAGUUGAUAGGAUAUGUAAAAGCAAUAAAAGCUAUAUUUAGCUCAAUUUCUUCCUCGAAUAGUCCCUUACCGCUGUUAUAAUCUUUCAUCCAAAUAGGAGCCUGUCUGACCCUUCUGUAUCCACCGGAUUAGGUACAACAUUCUCAGUUGCAUGAUUUUCAUCUCUCAUAGCUUCAUUGCCUUCACUAGUAAUUUUACGAUUUUCAUCACCUUUUGCCUUAUGUCAUCAUCUAUGUUAUUCUUGUCAUCACCCCACUCAAGAUCUACCAACACUUGUUCCUUAUAGCUAAUGUUCUACUCAUAUUGUCUAUAUUCCUCAAAUACUAUGUCUUUACUAGGCACCACUUUUUUAGCCAUGGGAUCAUAUAGCCUAUAGCUUUUUGUCUCCUUACUAAAUCCCAAAAGCACACAUUCAAAACUCUUGUUAUCUAACUUGGUUCUGAUAACAUCUGGGAUGUGAACAUGUGCCACACACCCGAAGACUAAAAAAUGUUCCAUUAAAGGUUUUACACCAGACCAUGCUUCUUUAGGAGCGACAUUCUUGACCGCCAUUAUAAGACUUCUGUUUAACACGUCUAUAGUCCAAUUCACUGCUUCAGGCUAGAGAGUUUUAGGGAUUUUCUUUUCUAAGAGCAUUGAACGAACCAUAUUCAUUACUGCUCGGUUCUUUCGCUCGUCCACACAAUUCUGUUGUGGGGUAUAUGCAUUUGUAAACUGCUUGUUGAUGCCAUACUAUCUACAAAACUCAUUGAACUCUUCUGAGUUGAACUCACCCCCUCUAUCAGUGCGUAAACACUUGAUAUACAUGCUUGUCUCAUUCUUAACAAGUCUCUUAAAGCAUUUAAAUUAAUUCAAAGCUUCUGAUUUUUCAACUAAAAAGUAAACCCAUGCUUUUCUACUAAAAUAGUCAAUAAAGCAUAAGGCAUACCUCUUCUUGCCAUUUAAUGUAGUAGGAGGAAGAUGAGGUAACCCAUGUACCUUAUUCUUGGUUUGCAAAGUAUUGAGACCUUUAUAGCCUAAAUGACAUAUCUGCGAUGCCAUAAGUGAGAGAGAUCUUGUACACUUGCGUGAAAACUUGCCUCUUUCUUCUCUUGUGUAUUGGCUUGCAAGAUGAACAUUCUAUUUGUUGGCAUAGUAACUUUAAUGAUUCAACCUUUAUCUAGAUGGUAGAUCUUACACAUUCCGCCAUGAAUUAGAUAUAGCUAGCCCUUUCUCUUGCCACUGUCUAAUACUGAGAAGAUUAUUUUUCAACUCUGGCACGUAGAAGACUUUUGUGAUGACAUGAUUAGUGCCAUUCAAUUGUAAUCUGACAUUUCCUUUUCUUUUCACUGUCAAUCUAGAGUUAUUCCCAAUUUUUGCUUGCUGCUUGAAACUUUCAUCUAAUUCACUGAACAUGAGAGCAUUUCCAGACAUAUGAUUUGGACAGCUGGAUUCUAGAAACCAUACAUCAUCACGCUUUUCUUCAUGCUCUUCUACGUAAGCCAUCAACAACAUUUCCUCAUGCUCAUCCGAUUCGACAUAAUUAGCCUCUUUGUCCCAUGUAGGACAUUUAUAACGGUAAUGGCCGAGUUGAUGAUAGUGAUAGCAUUCCACUGUGGCUUUAUAGAAGGCUUGAUGCCCUCUGCCUCUUCCCCUUCCUCUAUAGUUGUUUCUGCCACGUCUUCUUGCUCCAACUCUCUCAUCUGUGGUCACCUUUAAAACUUGCUCCUCCUCAUUUUUCUUGUGAAACUUCUACUCAUGCACAAUCAAUGAACUCUGUAAUUCAUCUAUGGUGAGCGUAUUAGUGUCCUUAGAUUACUCGAUAGAGCAAACAAUAUAGUUAAAUUUAAGGACCUAAGAAUUUUCUCAACAAUGGUAACAUCACGCAUUUCCUCCCUAUGAAAUCUCAUUUUGUUACUUACCAUCAUAACUCUACCAAAAUAUUCAGUAAUAUUUCACAUGGCUUCAUUUCGAGAGUCUCGAAUUCCCUCCUCAUAGCUUAAAGGACUAAACGAUUCACUUUAGCAUUCCCAUCGUACUUCAUUUUCAUCGAAUCCCAGAUUUGUUUCGAUGUGUCCUUCUGUAGGAUAGUCUCAAGAAUUGUUCUAUCUAUUGCCUGAAACAUGUAAUUCUUGACCUUCAUAUUAUUUAUCUUCAUCUCUUUGAUUUUUUUCUGUUGCACUUCUGUCAUAGCUGCACUUGCUUGCAAGUCUUCAUAUCAUGUCUUAACCAAACUCCAGCAUUCUUUGGACCUUAAGAAGUUCUCCAUGAGCAUACUCCAAUGGUCGUAAUGACCAUCAAAACGUGGAAUCGCUGGUUGGACGAAAGAACCUUCGCUUGCACUUGACAUCUCUCAAACUCUCAUGUGUUUAAACUCUCAUGUGUUCAAACUCUCAUGUGUUCACAAGUCACUAGCCUAGGUUUGAUACCAAUUUGUUAGAAUCAAUUGACUGUAGUAACAAGAGCUUAAUAAAGUGGACUAAAUGAAAUUUUUUAUUGAAACUCAACUUGGCUAUUAAUAGCCAUUUUCAACUCUAACAAAAAGCAUACAAAUAGGACAUGUUAGACAUAUCUUAGUAAAACCCAAACAACGAAUCUUUCGUUUCAUGCGCACGGUUGCGCAACAUACCCACGCCUAAGUCAGUCAAAUCUAAGCAAGUGCAUUUUAGUCAAUCACAAUUACUUGUUUGUUAAUUCCCUCCAAUGAAAUAAGGAAGAAGAAGCCACCAGACCGAUCGAUCGACGGAGAAAAAAAAAUGCCAAGGUUCACUCUUGGUAAUUCCUUUCGUUUUGGCAGCAAAAGAGAAACCGUCUCUAACUUUCAUUCUGAAUCUAUUGAGACCAUACUACAGAAGUUGACUAAAGAUUGGCUUGGGCACUUUGCUCGACAAGCGCAGAUCCAGGCCGAUCUGAUUGGGUGGGAGACGAUGAUGGUGAAGAUUAAUAAGGUGCUAGAUGACGCCAUAGAGAAGCAGACGAAAGAGGAGUCAGUGAAGAUAUGGCUAGGCAAACUUCAGCACUUGGCUUAUGAUGUUGACUACUUGUUGGAUGAGUUCCAAACGGAAGCUUUCCAGAUGAUGUUGCUGCAAGAUGCUGAUGCGAUGUCUAAAGUAAAGGAGGUCAAUGCUCGAUUGCAAGAUAUUGCAUGGCAAAUAAACGUACUAGGUUUGAAAGAAAGUUCCGGUGGGAAGUCUACAAUUGUCGGGCAAAGAUUUCUCACAACCACUUCGGUGAGUGAAGCUAGCUUAUAAGUAUUGAUAUUGAAACAGAAAAUUUUUACAUAAAACGGUAUCAAUUUACUCACUUAAUAAAAAAAAAUAAAGACAAUAGAUACUGAUUUGUCACUGCUUUUAUCAAUAUCUCGAUCUCUUCAGCAAUUUUUCACCAAUGUAAAUGGUAGGGAAAAAGAUAAAGAAGAGAUACUCAAUCGCGCAUACUACAAAUAUAAAGACUAAAUACUAAUGCUAAUUCAAAAUAUUUUCUUUUGUUUUGAAGCGAAUCUUAGCGGCAGGAAGAGGUGGAAGUCGAGAUCGUCGUCCUAUAAUCUUUAGCCCAUUAAUCAAGGAAGAAGACUUGGCAUUUUUGGAAAAAGAAGAUUAUUUUGCUUCUUUGGAGAAAAUAAGAUCAUGUUGGAAUGGAGAAGUUUACAAAGCCGAGCUACCAGGAAGCAGUGGAAGGGUGAUUACUAUUAAGAAGAUUAUCCAACCUCUAAAGAGUGGAGCAGAGUUGAUUAAAAAAGAUAGUGAGCCACUUCACCAUAAAAUGAUCCAAAUUCGAUCUGAGAUUAUCACUGCAGGUCAAGUGAGGCAUCGGAAUAUUGUUCCUUUGCUGGCUCGUAUGGUCCGGCGUGACUGCGAUUUACUUGUAUACGAAUUCAGGAGGAAUGGAAGUUUACAAGACAUUCUAUAUGACGUCUCACAAGGAAGAAGAGAAUUAGAUUGGCUAGCUAGACACAGGAUUGCGCAAGGAAUAGCUUCUGGGCUUGAAUAUCUGCAUAUGUCCCACAGGCCUCGUAUUAUCCAUAGAGAUAUUCAGCCAGCGAACGUGCUUAUAGACGAUGAUAUGGAAGCCAGGAUUUCUGAAUUUGGUCUUGCAAAGCGAAUUCCUGAUGGUCAUACACGAACUACAACUUGGAGUCUGGCGGGAACGGUGGGAUACAUAGCCCCAGAGUGUCACCAGACGGUAGCACUCUCUGACACGUGUGAUAUAUACAGCUUUGGGGUGUUGCUAGCUGUUUUAGUGAUAGGAAAAUUUCCUUCCGAUGAUUUUUUCCAGCAUACCAAAGAGAUGAGUUUGGUUCAAUGGAUGAGAAAUGUCAUGACUUCUGAGAACCCUAACCGGGCUAUCAAUUCGAAGCUCCUCGGCAAUGGGUAUGAGGAGCAAAUGCUUCUUGUUUUGAAGAUUGCUUGUUUUUGCACUUUGGAUGAUCCAAAUAAGAGACCUAACAGUAAGGAUGUUAGGUGCAUGUUGUCUCAGAUUCAGCACUAAUUAAGGAAGUGGAUUUUUCUGAAAAUGUACAAGAGCAUAACAACGUCACUUGUGAUGAACAAUGUAUGCUCUCUAAUUAAGUUGUACAAUUACGAUCCCCUGUGAGUUUUUACUUAUCUAAUCGAUACAGAGUGGUUCAGAUCAUUAUACAAAGUAGAGACCAUUUCUGAAAUGUGGCAUAUUUUCUAUAUUUCAGCAGUCAUACGUUUCUGGCAACAUGCGAAGCCUUUUAUUUUGCAAAAGAAAAAUAGCAAGAACAACUCAAUAUUGGUACUAAGUCCCUUCCACGAGCAUAUUCUAAAACGUAUUCUGAUAAAAGGGAAAGUUGCAGGCAAGUGCGUUUUAAGGAGAAAAAAAAAAUGUUCCUUUAAAAAGCAGCUAACCGUGUUUCACGUUUCGCUUCUGAUCGUGCCUCCAUUUUUUAUUUACAAACCAGUUCAAAAGAGAUUUCAAAAUUUCAGAAUCAUGAAAAAAAAAAUAUUGCCUGGCCAGUGGGAACACUUAAGGCCUUUCAACCCGCACAUCAUAAAAAGUAAAUCAAACCACAAAUAUGAAAGGCUAAAAAGUUGGAAAGUGUUUUUCGCUCGUGAGAAGUGAGAUCAGAGAUACCAAAAUUGGGGCUAGAAAUUAGAAAGCAGAAAAUUAUCUCAAAGGGAGUGGGACCUGAUGUUUUGAAUGUUGCCACUAGAGGAUGCAUCCAAGCCAUCGAGCCCACUUUCAUGCUCAACACAGCAAAGCCCACUACAGAGUCAUGACUACAGCCCAACAGAGAGGAAAUGUAAAAUGAUAGCCAGGAGAAAACUAUAGCAGAUGGGCAGCAAGAGAGGUUCCGUACUUACAUGUUAAUGCCUUGACGGACUUGGAAAACCGAAUGCACUCUAUUGGUAGACAUACACACCUAAUUCACCAAAAGUGGCUAAUAAACACAGAGAACCCUCCAAAGCUAGAUAUUUUUCUAUACUGUAGCUUAACGGACUGCAAUUUGGGUGGCAACCUUUCCGUUUAUUUAGUUGGAGAAGUAUUGCCAUAUUUUUUAUCCAAAAAAUGGAACUCUAGUGUGAUUAAUAAUAUUUACCCUUCUCUUCAAAAAAAAAAAAAAAAGCAUGAAGUAGAGGUGUGCCAGCACCCUGUUCAAAUCAAACUUGUUUUGGGCUUAUGGGACAGCCUAAAAUAACUAGGCUCAGUGGGGGAAAACGGAAAACCGAAGUCAUUUUCAAAUAUUCAGAAAAAGAAAUUUGGUCCCACACCAAAUUUUUGAAAGUCCUCAAUAGCAUUAAAAAUGCAGUAGCGUGCUUUACUCUCGGAAAAGCCACACAAUGAACCAUGAAAUUCCACCAUAUUAUAUGAUUUUAUUAUCAGGAUCAUUAUAUAGUACUACAACAUAAGUCAUACAAAAAUAAUUUAUUAGCUUUGAUUAAUUAAAAACAGAGAAAAACAUAAUAGAUCAGCAUGAACCCACCACCAGAUAAACUAUAUUGAGGUGUGGACACUCGCAUUUUCUUUUUAAUAUAGAUACAUUGUUAAAUGUAUGGUUAAUAGAGUCAAUCUUCAAUGCACUAUAAACAUGUAUGGUUUAAAAAGAAAAAAAAAGAAAAGAUGCCCACACUAGAGAAGGAUUGUGUGUGUAUAAGACAUUUUAACACAAACUAUAUACAAAAGACAUUUUAACAUAAACUUUUUACAUAUUUUUAUUAGCAUUUUAUAUAUUUUUUUAAUAUAUUGUCUUAUAUAUGGUAGCUCAAUUCCUACUUUAUUCAUGUGAAUGGGUUUGAACCUCAAAUGUAUAUAACUCACCUCAAUAAAUUUUUUCAAUAAAGUAAACUAGCACUAUUUACAAUUGUUCGUUGAUAGGUAGGCUUUGAUAUUUUAAAAAAAUUAAAAAAUUAGUAAUAACUACACUAAUAAAACUAAUUUUCUUAGUUUUCCUUGUUGAACAUAAAUACGUACACUAACGGACAAUGGAUUGUGUAACUCAUUUUCUUCUACGUUCUCUUUUUUUCUUCUACAUAAAUACUAUAUAUAUAUAGUCCUUCUCUUGUGCGGGCGCAUUUAUUUUUUUCCAUGCAGAUGCACUUUAAAACCGUGAGAUUUAAGAGAAUUAGUUUUUAACUGUCUUAAACCACACUGUUUUAUAGUUCAUUAAAAAACUAACUCUUUUAAACUGCACAGUUUAAAAGUAUGUCCACAUUAACUGCACAUUUUAAAGAUUUCCUGAACUUUUCCCGCACUUUAAAAUCCCUUACUAUAUAUAUACAUACAUACAUAUAACUUGGUAAUAAUGAGAAUCUAUAUAUGUACAUGAUGAAUCUGUAAGCCCUUAAUGAGAAUAUAUAUGUGUUUUUUUUUAAUCUAUUAGUAACAUUUCUAUUUUGCUAAAAUGAGGAUAUCCUCAUUAAUGCGUUAUUCUAUAUUCAUAUAUGAUCUGUGUAAAACUUAAUUGAUUGUGCAAAUUAUUAGUUGUUGGAAUUUCAAACCAACCACAAGUACUUUAGUAUUUACUCUGCUAAUAAUUGGCCUAGGAAAAUAUAUCGCUUUCCUUCAAAAUAUAAGGAAAAGAAUCUACAGAUUCAUCGAAAAUUAUACAAAUAUAUAGAUUGAAAAGAAUCUACACCUUCGCAUUAUAUUGAACAGGAACUCAUGUAAGCCGGCGCCUUUUGUAAACCUUUCAUACCGCGUUUCUAAAUUUUUUGUAAAUCAGCAAUCUAAUGAUGCUAUAAAUCAAUAAUAAUUUAUUUGUUUUGUGAAUGAAAAGAGGGAGCACAAUUAAAUGUUUCGUCAACAAAAAACUGGGCUCCUCUCAGUGUUAAACAAGGAAAAGCAGCAGGAAAUCUCCUCGAAGUAAGUCUAGCUCGUGCUCACUAGAAGAUUUUCUUAAGUUAUGAAGAUUUGGACAGACAACUUGCGGAGGAAGGUGCAAGCAGGGAUUCCACGAGCAGAUAUUCAUCUAAGUCAACCUGAAGAAUUGACUUGAUCAGAGUCAACUCGCAAAUUUUCUCCAAAAAAUAAGGGUUUGAGCUCUAUCCUCUCAACGGUUAAUAUUUAUAAAAGCUUCCAAAAAUUUGAACCAAGUAAGUGAUCUUUUCUCUAGCUACUUCAAAACUCUUUUUGAGAAAAUAGCAUUGGGAGUUCAUUCUUUCUUUCUUCCUUUCAUUUUUAAAGCCUUUCAAUUACACUAGUUAUAAUCAAUGCUCAAUAACUUAAUACACAUUAAUCCAUGAAAUCCAAAGAACUGACUUAAGUAUCAAAGGAUUUAACAUCGAAAAAAUCCUCAGUUUUCCCCUAAUCGUUUAUUUUGAACACAUUUAUUUUUCUAGGAAGUACUCGUGAUCACUUGUGUUUGUUCAAGUGAGUAGAAAGUUUAUAUUCAAGAUCAUCUAUCCCACUAUUAUAAAUUUUAAGUAUUGAUGUUGGCGUCUAGUUAUUGCUCAACACGAUCAUAUUUCAGCAUCGACAGUAUUGAUUUCAAAUAUAGUAUUGUUUUUAUAUUAUUUAUAAUAUAAUUCAAAGUCUUUACUAAUAAUUUAAUAAAUACUUAAUUUUAGGGAUCCUAAUAUUCACUUGAGUUAAUUGAUAUAUCAUAUAUCAUAGUAGAAUAAUAUUAUAUAAUAAUUAUGGAUUUAUCAUGCAAUAAAUGAGUAGAAAAUAUAAAAUAAAUUAAUUUAUAAUUCUCCCAACCCUAAUCACAUCUUACAAAGCCCUGUCAUCCUCUAAUUUUUUGCAAUUUAUUUUAAUUACAUAGAAGUGAUGAGUAGAAAACAAAAAAAAAUGAACUGAUAAUGAAUAUAAAUAAUUUGUUAGAAAAAUUCUCAAACAUUUUUAAUUUUUAUUUGUUUUUAAAUAUAAUUUUAUUUAAAGUGGAAUUUUAUAAGAAUAAUGAAGGUCACCAAUAGCUUAAGUCUUUGGGUUAUUAAAUUUGGAUAUAUAUAUAUAUAAUAUUAAUUGUCACGUAGUAACUUACCAUCGCACCCAUUACGAACCUUUUUUAAAAGAUAUGAUUUCUAGGUUCUAACUUCCAAUGAAAUGACCACAUACGAUGUAUAAUGCUGAACACUUGUUGACUUAUUUAAUUUUUUAAGUGAAUUUCUUUUCUAAAUAAAAAAAGACUUGACGGGGAGGAGAGGCUGUCAUAUAUUAUUUGUCAUCUCGAUGACAGACGAGCUAUAGACAGAGCAAAGUAAGUUUUAUAUAUUGUCACGAGUCAUUGACCACAAGAAGCUGAUUCCUGGCUGCUUUUUGUUUAUUGUUAUUGUAGCAUGUGAAGAAUUUUUAACAAAAUAAAAUCAACAAUAAUCGAUUUUAUUUUUGAAUUUGCUUCUUUAUCUUCUUCAUCCAGGUCACUGUGUAAAAAUCAAUGAUGAAAAUGUUCAAUUUCUUGAAUUAUAUGAUCUAAUUUUGUUCGAUAUUUUAUUUCCCAAUAAACAUAAUAGGUUCACAACCUUUCCGGUAAGCAUAUGGUUCGACCAGCAACUGAAAAAAAUAAUAAAUAAUCAAAUUUUAAAUAAAGAAACACUUCAAAAAAUAGAAUAGAAGAAAUACAUAAAUUUUUGUCAUUGAACUCUUUCAAACACUUCCUCCUUCCUUGAUAAAACAAGUAUUUAUCAUUUUUAUGUGUAAGGUUAAUUUGAAUAAAGAAUAUGAAUUUACAAUUUCAAGGAAAUAAAUUAAAGUUGAAUGAGUACCAAAAAAAAAAAAAAAGAAACUCAUUUAUCUACAUUCUAGUAUCUAUAAUAAUUAUUUUGAGGGAUAUUUUAAUAAUUAAAAAAUUAAAUUUGGUGGAUAAUUUAGUGGGUCUAAAUGCCUCACCCUUUUCUUUUAGGGGGUAUAUUCAGUUGAACCCACACCGAAGCUUCAGUACUCCAGCUUGGCAGAAAUUGCUUAUAGCAAGUCAAUUCAAAUUCAAUAAAAGACAAAUGACGUAACUGUUGGGAAAAUAUGCUCUUUAAAAGCAUAUGUGUUUAUUUAAUUGUAAUAAACAAAUUUUCUGAUUAAUAAAAUAAAUGAGGUAUUUUAUUCAAAUAUAUUAAUUGCAUUAAUAUUUGUAUUAAAGUCUAUUUAAUCAUAUUAUAUGUAUUUAUGUGAUCACCAUGUGGAUUCACAGAAGACAUAAAUACAAGUUAUCUUAUGAUUAAAUAAAUUUAGUUCGCAGUUGAUAAAUAAAGUUGGGCACUUUAUUUAGGUAUAGACUGUAAUAAAUUCAUUGAAUGAUUUGUCUUAAUCAUGUAUGAAUUUAUUAAUGUAGUACGACUACAUUGAACAGGAUCACAUAUGAGAUUUAAUUAACUUUGUAAUAACUGUCAGACUUAUUAAAUCUCAUAGGCGUUGAUUUUACUGUAAUCUUAAUCUUGAGUUAAUUAUGAUUUCAUUAUUGUAAUUGUUAUUCCAUUUGAGUUACCAAUGGGCACGACACAUCCUUGUGGUCAAGAUUACCCGGUAUCUUGGUGGGAGCAAUUAUGAGUAUUGGAGUUAUGGAUUAACAAUAUAGAAUUUGUACAACACAUCUCUUGAUGGGUUUUCGGCACUUGAUCAUAGAAUUCUCUGGCCAGAGUGUGUCAACAUAUUUAGUAUGUUGAAAAUGAUCAUUAGAGAAAACCAGUAAGGAUCAAGGAAUAAGAUGUUAUUAAAUUGAUUGGACAGUUGAGAUAUCAAUUUAAUUAACGAUGUGGUACAAAAGAUUGUGCAGUAAAGAAAUCAAUGUGGCUUGGGACGAAUUAUUAUUCGAGCAUACAAUUAUGGAAGUCAGUUCCAAUCUUUUAGUGGAGUAGAUUUGGAAUUAAAUAAUUGGGCUAGUUUAAUUACAAGCCUAAUUAUUGUAGCCACUAUUGUAUGUUCCCAAAUGAUCCCCGGGUUAGCUCAUUUAAUUGACUGCACCACUACUGGACUAAUAAGUAAGAUAACUAGCUAUUUGGGUCAAAAGCCUAAAUAUAUCAUUUAGUGGGAGGCUCCAUUUAAUUAGCUUUUGUAUAAGGGCCUUUAUGUUAUUUUACAAGAUGGGUCCCCUAUUGAAAAAGUAAAUAAACGUGAGUUUUAUUUAGGGCAUUAUUUGGAGCCUAGGGUUUUCACUAAAGGGAGAUAUAUAAGGCUUAUUUUUCUCAAAAAAAAGAAAAUGAAGCCACUUGAUACAGAUCAAAGAAUAAAAUUUUUCUCUCCAUUGUUGAGAGAAAAAUUUUCUCGUGCUAGUUGCUUUGGUAGUGAUAAAGGCGCCCACACGUCAAGUGCAGAUCGAACCUGAGUCAUAACCUGGAAGAUCAUUGGAGACUGUUCAUGAUCUAACAAGCGUGGUGGUGACGGAUCGUGAUCUAACAGGAGUGGUGGUGGCGGAUCGUGAUCUAGGAGGCUAAAACACUUCAGCGAAAAAAGCCAACUCGGAUUUUCAAGGUACGAUUUCUAGAAUACGAAUUCUUAUAUAUUAUAUGAGAGCGAUCUUCAAAAGGUUUUAUAAAAAUUUAAAAACCUGAUUUUUCCCCAACAGUAACCGUGUUGGUUCCGCGUGUUGAGUUAUUCCUCACUUUCCCGUGUGGACUUCCACGCGCAUUUUGCGCAACAUACCCCCAUCAAAGUCAGUCAAGUCUUCUCUUUUUGUUAAUGUGGCAUAUUUUCUAUAUCAAGCCGUUCAUUUUGCAUAAGAAAAUUAGCAAUAACAGCUCAAUUAUUGGCAGUUCCUUCUAUAAGCAUUUUCUAACACAUAAUUGAGAAAGUCUAUAAAAUUUUUAAGAGUUCCAGGCAAGUGUAUUUUAGUCAAUCACAAUUACUUGUUUGUUAAUUCCCUGCAUUUAAAUAAGGAAGAAGCAGCCACCACACCGAUCGAUCGAUCGACCGAGAAAAAGAUGCCAAAGUUCACUCUCGGAAAUUCCUUUCGUUUUGGCAGCAAAAGGGAAAUCGUCUCUAACUUUUAUUCGGAAAAUAUUGAGACGAUACUAAAAAAGUUGACUAAAGAUUGGCUUGGGCAGUUUGCUCGAGAUGCGCAGAUCCAGGCUGAUCUGAUUGGGUGGAAGAAGAUGAUGGCGAAGAUUAAUAAGGUGCUAGAUGAUGCGAUCGAGAAGCAGACGAAGGAGGAGUCAGUGAAGAUAUGGCUAGGCAAACUUCAGCACUUGGCUUGUGAUGUUGAUUUCUUGUUGGAUGAGUUUCAAACGGAAGCUUUCCAGAGGAUGCUGCUGCAAGAUGGUGUUGAUGAUGCCGUGGAUAAGUCCGAGGAUUCUACGGCCAUGUCUAAAGUAAAGGAGGUCAAUGCUAGAUUGCAAGACAUUGCAUGGCAAAUAAACGUACUAGGUUUGAAAGCAAGUUCCGGUGGGAAGUCUAAGAAUGUCAGGCAAAGAUUUCCCACGACCCCUUCGGUGAGUGAAGCUAUCUUGUAAGCAUUGAUAUUUAAACAGAAAUUUUUUACAGAAAACUGACAAAAAUAGUGAUAAAUCGGUAUCAAUUUGCCCGCUUAAUUAAAAAAUUAAGACAUUAGAUACUGAUUUGUCACUGUUUUUAUCAAUAUCUCGAUCUCCUUAGCAAUUUUUCACCAAUGUAAAUGGUAGAGAAAAUGAUGAAGAAUAGAUACUGAAUCGCCUAUACUACAAAUAUAAAGACUAAUUACUAAUGCUAAUUCAAAGUGUUUUCUUUUGUUUUGAAAGCUACUCUUAGCCGCAGUAAGAGGCGGAGGUCAAAAUCGUGGUCCUACAAUCUUUAGUCCCUUAAUCGAGAAAGAGGACUUGGCUUUUUUGGAGAAAGAGGAUUGCUCUGCUUCUUUGGAGAAAAUAAGAUCACGUGCGAGUGGAGAAAUUUACAUAGCCGAGCUACCGGAAAGCAAUGGAAAAAUGAUUGCUAUUAAGAAGGUUAAACAAGUAGAUAAUUCGCUACUGAACAUAAAAAUGAGGCAAGUUCGGGCUGAGAUUAUGACUGCAGGUCAAAUUAGGCAUAGGAAUAUUGUUCCUUUGCUGGCUCAUAUGGUCCGGCCUGACUGCCAUUUACUUGUCUCUGAAUUCAUGAAGAAUGGAAGUUUACUAGAGAUUCUAAAUGAUGUCUCACAAGGAAGAAGAGAAUUAGAGUGGCUAGCUAGACACAGGAUUGCAAGAGGAAUAGUUUCAGGCCUUGAGUAUCUGCAUAUGUACCAUAGGCCUCGUAUAAUCCAUAGAAAUAUCACGCCAUCGAGCGUGCUUAUAGACGAUGAUAUGGAAGCCAGGAUUGCUGACUUUGGUCUUGCAAGGCUAAUGCCUGAUGGACAUGCACAAGUCUCAACAUCGAUUGUGGCGGGAACGGUGGGAUACAUAGCCCCAGAGUAUCACCAGACGCUAAAAUUUUCAGAAAAGUGUGAUAUAUACAGCUUUGGGGUGUUGCUAGCUGUUUUAGUGAUGGGAAAAUUACCAUCCGAUGAUUUUUUCCAACAUACAGAAGAGAAGAGUUUGGUUCGAUGGAUGAGAAAUGUCAUGACUUCUGAGAACCCUAACCGGGCUAUCGAUUCGAAGCUCCUCGGCAAUGGGUAUGAGGAGCAAAUGCUUCUUGUUUUGAAGAUUGCUUGUUUUUGCACUUUGGAUGAUCCAGAGGAGAGACCUAACAGUAAGGAUGUUAGGUCCAUGUUGUCAGAUACAGCAUUAAUUAAGGAUGUGGAUUUUUUGAAAAUGCACAAGAGAAUGGAUUUUGACAAUGAUGAUUGUGAUGAACUCAUCCAACAAGAAAUCUAUGCAGAGUGGCUCAGCUCAUUGGACAGUUAUAAUCCCCUCUGAGUUUUUAGUUCAAAUAAUCUAUACAGAGCGGCUCAGCUCAUUGUACAAAGUAGAAACCAUUUCUCAAAUGUGGCAUAUUUUCUAUAUUCCAGCAUUCAUAUGUUUCUGGAAACACAUCAAACCUUUCAUUUUGCAUAAGAAAAAUAGCAAGAACAACUCGCUAUUGGUACGUAGUCCCUUCCAUAAGCAUAUUCCAACACUUAUUGUGAGAAAAGGGAAAGUUCCAGGCAAGUGCGUUUUAUUAAAAAAAAAAAAUGUUCCUUUAAAAAGCAACUAACCGUGUUUCACAUUUCGAUUCUGACUGUGUCUCCAUAUUUUAUUUACAAACCAGUUCAAAAGAGCUGUCAAAAUUUCAGAAUCAUGAAAAAAAAAUAUAUAUAGAUAUAUAUAUCGUCUAGCCAGUGGCAACACUUAAGGCCUUUCAACCCGCACGUUAUAAAAAGUAAAUCAAAGCAUAAGCACGAAAGGCUAGAAUGCUGGAAACCGUGUUUAAGUUGGGAUAAAGGAGAUCAGAGACAUCAAAAGUGGGCCUUGAAAUUUAAAAGCAGAAAAGUAUCUCACAGGGAGUGGGACAUUAUGUUUUGAAAUUUGAAUGUUGCAGCUAGAGGAUUCAUCUAAGCCAUCCGGUCCACUCUCAUGCUCAAUAGAGCAAAGUUCACUACGGAGGCGUGACAACAGCCCAACAAAGAGGAAAUGUAAAAUGAUGGCCAGGAAAAAUCUAUUAGCAGACGGGGAGCAAGAGAGGUUAUGUUAAUGCCUUAAUGGACUUUGGAAAACCAAAUGCACUCUAUUGUUAGACAUACAAACCUAAUUUUCUUAAAAUGGCUAAUAAAUGCGGAAUACUCCAAAGCUAGAUUUUUUCCCACACUGUAGCUUAAUGGAAUGCAAGUUGGGUAGCAAAGGUUCCUUUAAUUUACUGGAGAAGUAUUGCCAUAUUUUAUCCAAAAAAUGCAACUCUAGUGUGAUUAAUAAUAUUUGUCCUUCUCUUAAAAAAAAAAAAAUGAAGUAGAGGUCUAGCAGCACCCUGCUCAAACCAAACAUGUUAUGGGCUUAUGGGCUUAUGGCUCAGUGAGGAAAACGGAAAGCCGAAGUCAUUUUCAAAUACAUAGAAAAAGAAAGUUGGUCCCAUACCAAAUUUAUAUAUAUAUAUAUACACACUGAUAUAUUACAAUAAGAAUUUUAAAAAUAUUUAUAAUCACAAAUCAAUUGGGAUUCUUUUUCAUAAUUCUAGUAGUCCCAUACCAAAUAUUUGAAAGUCCUCAACAACAUUAAAAAUGUAGUAGUGUGCUUUACUCCGAAAAAAGCCACACAAUGACCCAUGAAACUCCACCAUACUCUAUGAUUUAAAUAUCAUGAUCAUUAUAGUAAUGCAACAUAAGUCGGACAAAAAUACAUUUAGGCAGUGUCUACUUCACAUAUUAGGGAAUCAAAAUUCGAAAUUGGAAUCAUUGACAGGGUUUUCUUCGCAAAAUAGAGGCAAGAAUCGAAAUUGAAAUCGUUGGACCACCUAAAUUUGGAAAUGGAGAAUGGGAGAUUGAUUCCCAAGACCCCCUGAGAAUUUGACCCAAGUAAGUGAUCUUUUCUCUCCCUACGUCAAAUUUGAGAAAAUAACAUUAGGAGUUCAUUCUUUCUUUGUUCUUUUCAUUUUUAAAGUCUUUCAAUUAAACUAGCUAUAAUCAAGGCUCAAUAACUUAAUACACAUUAAUCCAUUAAACCGAAACAAAUUACUUGAGCAUCGAAGGAUUUAACGUCGAAAAAAUUCCCAACUUUCUCUUAAUCGUUUAUUGUGAACGUAGAUAUUUUUAUGGGAAGCACUUGUGAUCGCUUGUGUUUGCUCCAAUGAGUAGGAAGUUUAUGGUCAAGAUCAUCUGUCCCACCAUUAUAAAUUUUAUGUGUUGACGUAGGCAUCUAGUUAUUGCUCAACACGAUCAUAGUUCAACAUCAACAGUAUUGAUUUCAAAUAUAGUAUUGUUUUUAUAUAUUUUAUAAUAUAAUUCAAAAUCUUUACUAAUAAUUUAAUAAAUAUUUAAUUUCAGGGAUCCUAAUAUCUACUUGAGUUAAUUGAUGUAUCAUUCAUCAAUUAGAUAGUAGAAUAAUAUUAUAUAAUAAUUAUGCAUUUAUCAUCCAAUAAAUGAGUAGAAAAUAUAAAAAUAUAUAUAGUUGUUAGCCAAAUCUCUACCUUGUAGGCCAUGAUUUCGUGGUAUCUUAUAAAUUUUAAAGAUUAGGGAUUGCACCCUAGACGGCUCUUCCCCUAAGCAACUUAGGCAAUCGCCCAGGGCCCACUAUAGAUGAAGGCCCUUAAUUUUUUUUUAUAAAUUAUAGUUAUUAAUUAUUGAUAUAUAUUUAUUAUUAUUGGGAGAUUACCAAUUUCCCCCUACAAUAAUCAACAUAUACCAUUUACCUCCUUAUUGUUUUUAUAAUGGCCAAAAACCCCCCUGAUAGCAUAAGUUUACAAUAUUACCCUUAUUUUCAACUACUCUUUUAUUUAUAUUUAUUAUAAAUUAAAUAAAUCACAUGAAUAGAAACUAAAUAAAAAAUUAAGUAUUAAAAAUAAGAAAUAUAUGUUUUGAUAUGAAAAAAAUUAAUAAUAAAAUUGUUUUCUUGUACUUAUUUAUUUUGUGAAAAUUUUCUUAUAAUAAAUAUAUAAGAAAGUUAUUAUAAAAUGAUAAAAAAAAUUAUAAGAAAACAUGAAUGACAAAUAAAAAUUUAUUAUAAGAUAAAUAAUAAAAUAUUUUACCUAUACUUUUUACAUUUAAUUUUAAAAUAUUACAAAAUAUUUAUUAUAAGAAAAUGUUCACAAAAUAAAUAAUUACAAGAAAAAAAUUUUAUUAUUAUUUUUUUCUCAUAUCAAAACAUAUAUUUUUUGUUUUUAAUACUUAAUUUUUUUUAUUUAGUUUCUAUUCAUGUAAUUUAUUUAAUUUAUAAUAAAUGUAAAUAAAAGAGUAGUUGAAAAUAAAGGUAAUAUUGUAAACUUAUGCUGUCAGAGGGGGUUUUUGGCCAUUACAAAAACAGCAUGGGGUAAAUGGUAUAUGUUAAUUACUGUAGGGGGGAAGUGGCAAUUUAUUUAUAAUUAUAUUUUCCAUAAACAAACUAUUAAAUCCUUACAAAGUCUCCUUUUAAUAUUAUAAUUAACAAUUUUAACACCAUUUAUUUCCUCCGUAUAUUUCAUCUAAAACUCCAUUAAGGCCACAUAUUUUUUAAAUUAUUAUCAUUAAUAUCUUUUUCCAAUUAAAAAAAAUACAUGAAACCUUCAUUACUUUGGUGAAAAAACUACUUUCUUUACCCUAAUUUUCACUUAAGGAAAAAAAAAUCAAUUGUUUUACUUUCCAUUGAUCACUGCUACUCAAAGUCUUAAUCUGUCAGAGUUAAAGUUCUCAAAUUUUCAGGUUCUAUCUUUCUAUUCUCUUAUUAAUUAAUUAUGUUAUUCAGUUAUUUUUGUUUCUUUUUAAAAAUAUUAUUGUGUUUAUAGGUUGUUUUCUUGUAAUUAUCUAGCAUAAUUGUUUACUUAAUUACUCUUGUUUCCGUAGAAAAAGAAAAAAAGUCUACUAAAAAUAAAUGCAUUAGGAUAAAAAGAGUUGAACUAUUGGCACUCCUUUUUUGAUCUUAUAAAACCCCUAUUUUAUUAAAAUUACAUUUAAAGACAAAUAAAAAUAAAAUUAACCCCACUUAUGUCUCUUCAACCUUAUUUUCUUCUUUUUUAAAAAAAUUAUUUUAAUUUAUUUUGCUUGCACAUGUAUGAUUUUUUUUUUUUUGGUUGACUCUAUCUCUCUUCUCUUUUUCAUUAUAGAUGAACAAUUUUUUAUGGCAAUGCAACCCCCACUUCCACAGCCGGAUUCAUAGAUUGAUUGGAGAAGAACAUCUACUUGUAAUUGCAUUUGGACUUCUGGAAAAUGUUUCGAUUGUUAAUGCCCGCAAGCGAUUUAUAUAAUAAUUGAUUCUUAGGGGUGGGCAAAAUACCCGACCCGAUCCGACCUGAAAAAUUUCGGGUUCGAAUCAGAUCGGAUGAAAUCUUGCAAAUUCGAUCGGGUUGUGAUCGGAUCGGGUCGCUUUAAAAACAAAAAAAAAACAAAACAAAAUCUAAGUGGCUAAACACACGCACACGGCACACCACACAUAAUCACACACAAAUCACAUACUCAAAAGGUUACACAAACACAAGACUCACAACAAAACACAAACCCCAACUUAGUCAUCUGCGAAUUUGCUCUUUCUCAAAAUUUCUUUCUUUUUUUUUGUUUUCUUAAUGUGAUUUUUUUUCAAAAGACAAGUUGCGAUGAUGAUGAGUGAAAUUAAUCUCGUUAAUCUGAGAUAAACAUGAGGAAAAAUUCUCUAAUCCAUUGUUAAUUAUCCUGAGCACCUUCUCUUCCUCUUUAGUAAAAAAAAAAUCACAACACCCAACCCACCCUCAAGAAGCAAGAAAACAUUCUCUCCUUCCCGCGAUCUGCUGCUGCCGUGUUGCGAGUCCGGCCAUCUGCUGCUGCGUCAGCGAUCUGCUAUUGUUGUGCUGUUGUCAUGCUGUUGUCGUGUUGUGUCCAGCCAUCUACUGCUGCGUCCGUGAUCUGCUGCCGCUGUGCUGCGUCCAGCCAUCGCGAGGAAACUGCUGCAUGUCCAGCCGUGCGCGAGCUGCUGUUGCACGUCCACCGAUCUGCUGCCGAAAACCCAGCCGUGAUCUGCUGCUGUGGCUGCCGAUAUGCUACUCCAAGGCUCAAGCCUCCAACCCGACCCGAGUUUCUCUCUUAUGUGUUUUGAAUUUUGAAGCUUUCAUGGUGUAUUGGUAUAUAUGUUUUGAAUUGACCCGUUUUCAUCAACCCGAAUUGGCUUAAUUUGACCCGAAUUCAAUAUGAUCCGUUUUUAAUCCGAAUCGAUUCUACCCGAAUUCAACCUGAUUUUUGACCCGAUCCGAACCGAUCCGAAUAUAUAGGAUCGGAUCGGGUCGGGCUGUGAGUUCGGGUUGCAUUCGGAUCAAUGUUUGCCCAACCCGAAUAACCCGAAACCCGAUCGGGUUGACCCAAACCCGACCCGAAUCCGAUUUUGCCCACCCCUAGGCACAUAUAUGUUUCCUUGAUUUUUUUUUUCAAAUGUUAUCAUAGACAUACAUAUUCAUUAUUUAUACAACAGAUAAAUAGAAAUAAAAUUACGAACGAAAAAGAUGAUUAUUUAGGGAAAAAGGGUAUUUUCGACAUUAUGUGGAGAAUAAUUAGAAAAGGAGUUUCCAGAGAAUUUAGGAGGGGUGCCAAUAGUUGGACUCUACAAAAAACUUAAAAAACAAGAGAAGUUAAUUUAGUUUAAUCUAAAAAAAAAGCUAUUGAUAAAAACAUAUUUAAGAUCAACUAUGUCAUAGGAAAGAUUAAACAAGUUAACUAUAUUGUCUAUUGAGAAAAAUAUAUUAAAAAAAUUAGAAUAUAAAAAUUUGAUUAAUAAUUUUACAUCUCAAGCUAGAGAAAUUGAUUUUAAAUAAAUAAAUUUUAAUAAAAUUAAUAUAUACAUUUUAUCUCAAAUUUUUUGAAAGGUCUAAUUAAAACAAUUUGCUUAAAGCCUAAAAAAUUAUUAAGCCGCCCCUGGUUAGCACCCCUUCAACCAAUGCAUAGGGGGCCUCCCCAUCCCCACCACGAACCAUUUGACCAGUGAAUUUUCAUCAAAUACCACUCUCUAAACAAGCGUAAAGGCAAGGGCGGCGCUGCUAUACAUGAAUCUCAGUCAAAUAGAGGAGACGUUAUUCAUAUGAUGUACCCCACUCCACGUGUUUAAACCCUUAGAUCUGGAUAUAAAGGCAAGGGCGACGCCACUUAAAUGCAUAAAUCUCAAUCAAAGGGAGAUGCAUUAAGAGUUCCGAAUAGCUAUUUAUUUUUCCCAUCAUAUACCCCACGUACGUUUUAAACCCUUGAUCUAGAAAGUCUUUCCUACAAACACCAAGUAUUUCAUAGAGAUCACCUUAGGGUUCCGAAUAGUUGAAUUGGCACCGUAUAAUACCGUGCCGGUCAAUUAAGCCUUAAAUUUCCAUUUUUUUCCCUUCUCCCGACAACCCUAAUCACAUCUUACAAAGCCCUGUCAUCCUCUAAUUUUUUACAAUUUAUUUUAGUUACAUAGAAGUGAUGCUUAGAAAAAAAAAAUGAAUUGAUAAUGA
rnacentral:lncRNA from 1 species